rnacentral:lncRNA from 1 species
UGUGGGCCUUUCUUCCGUAUUUCCUGAUAACCCCCUGCAGAAAUAGACAAACACCAAAACUUGUGGAAUUCUGUCAGAUAAAACCCUAAGUCUAGGUGUUGGUUGCAUUAGGAUCCUUUUCUAUGAUUAGUUGAUGGUUAAAUGUGAGCAUUAAGGACCGUCAACAAGCUCCCCCAAGCUUAACCUUUGCUGGUCCCUGAGCAAAGAUGGACUCAAGAGUUUCUGCAGUGGUUCUAUGCCUUAAAGAUACACAUGCGUUCAAACAAGAUCUCAUCUCUGGGUUAGGGUAAACUGUUAAGAUUUAAACUUACUCAUUUUACCUUCCACCAUGGGGCUUGUAACCGUCACUUGUGUCUUGAGCAGUUAAAAGAUAGAACGGUCUAGUCAAGCGCCAUGUCUCAUGUUCUUCGAUUAACUAUAGCUCUGGAGUUUUUGCAGAUUUUCAAAUAAAACUCAGAGAUUCCUUGUAUGACUUUCUCAGAUCUCUCUUUUGUGGUAUUUCUAGAUCCUUACCAAGGCAGUGAUGGUGUAUGCCUUCUCUCAAAGUAUGUGGUAUUUUUGGUAUGAGGCAUAGUGACAUUGCCUUCUCUCUCACCCUACUCUAAUAAGGCUCUUGAUAUCUGGAGCUCAUAGGUGGGAGACAGCUAAUACAUACUUACAAGACAUUUAUUGCAUAGUCAAACCAUGGAUCCAGAAGAAUAAGUCAAUAAAUCAAAUCAAGAUGUGCAUGUGUGGCAAAUGAAUGGUGUAUGGUGAUGAUGGUGAUAACAAUGGUGAAAGUCUAAUUCUACUUCUGCUCUUUUGAGGGGGUACAUACCUUCCUUGCUUUUUUGAAACUUUUUGAGGAGAAUGAGAUGCUCUAUAUUUUCUUUUUCUUUUCUCUCAGGUUGGUAUCUUGUACCCCUAAUUCUACUGUCGGACACUUGUCCAUUUUUACCUCUCGUCUCACUUUUUCUUUUCUUUUGAGGUUCCGGGCACUUGCCCCUUUUUAUUUCCUCGUAUUCUUUCUCUUUUUUUAGAGCACCUAUCUCCUGAAAUAAUAUAGCAAGUGGUAGUAACCAUGAUAACUUGAGCAUUUAUUUCACAGGGAAAAACAUAAAUGUUUUUGGCUAUUCUCUCCCUGAUUAGGAGUAGAAUAUUUUUGGGUGGUUCUAGAGAUGGAAAAGAGUGGAUGUAUGUGGAUGCGUACUUCCAGAGUAGGAGAAGCAUGUGUGAGUGAACAUGCAAGUGAAUCUUGAUUUAACCACAUGACAAGCUCCUAAGGGUCUACACAACUUGACCACACUCAAUGCUCAUAAGCAGUAAAAAGUAAAUGUGGCUCAAAGUCUAGCAAGCAUGUAUAUAUGGCUGUGGUAGGAAUUUAAACUCUCAUCAUACAGGAACUCAUCAUGUAACAUUUUAAAGAUUUUUAAAGAUAAAAUUCUCCAGAAUUCUAGCAUCUCUAGGAACAGAUAAACAGCAGCUCAACCUUCCCAUAUCGUAUCCGUUAACGACUUAGACUUUAGAUCAAGUACUCUCCCCACAAGUUCAGGCUUAGAGCAAAACUUAAUUAAUACCAGUCAUGCCUAAACUUGAGAGAGAUUUCAAUUUUGAGAACUAGUCAUUGCAGAGCAACUAUUCAUCAUUUCUAUGUGAGAGCUUAUCAUGAGGGUUCAUAGCAAACUUUAUUUAUUUAUUUAUUUAACAUGCUAAGCAAAGAUAUAUAUAUAAGCACAAAAUCUUUAUUUGGGUUUUUAUGAUUAUGCAUCUUUUUAUUAUUUGAGUAAAAUAUAAACAUGAGUAGAGCACUUAGCUGGAUAAAUGGGGUUGCUCUCCCCCAAGCUGGAUUUUGACGUAAUUCCUUCUGAUGUAGCUAGUAGGUGGCAGAGGUGUAUUUGAAUGUUGGCAGCACCCUGACAGCGAUUAGGAUGUCCUCCGUCUGCUAGUCUUCUUUGAUCCUUGAAUUAUGUGGAGCUCAAAUAGACAACAAAGCUUUGUGAAACUAGUUAAGUGUUAGCAUAAAUAUGUAGCCUUUAUCAUGUUGAGCCUCCUCAAUAAAUAUUACUUUCUUUGGUACAUAAAUUUAUUUUUAUAUUUUCAUUUUCAUAGGACAGGAAUAUAUUUAUUUCAUUUUUACGCCACCACAGUGAAUGUACUUAUGGAUUUGAUGCCAUGAGCAUACUCACAUGGGGCUUACUAUUUUUAACAUUUUUAUUUUCUUUUUAAGAUGAUAUGAACCUAAUUAACUAAGCAAAAUAUUUUAAAAUAAUUGAAAGGAAAAAAAUAACUACCAAGUUUACCUCUUGGCAAGGCGUUCGGUGUUUUUAAGUCCUCCGAACGGGACUCUCCGUUUUCUCAGUCGUCCUGGGAUUCGCUGGAUGGCGUAGUCGGUGGUUCCGGCGGCGCCUGGUCUUCAUGUAUAACUAUCUUCUCUCUCCACACCUGACUCGGUGCUACGGUUUCCUCAGGACAGCUCUGUUCAAGUUGUAUGUCUUCAGACCUUACCACUUCUCCUUCAUAGUCUGCCCAUCCGUCCUGGAUGAUUUGCCUUCUCUGGUUGCGGUUGCGUCGUCUUCUUCUUGUCCUGACCUGCUUAGAGUCUUCAACUAUAUAGUUAGGGUCAGUAAAAUAGCGGCGUACCUUCUCAGAGAGGAAGUGCAUGUGGACUUCUCUAAUUCCAAUGUAGAUGAUUGCUUUAACGGUGCUGAGGAACAGUCUCCCAAUGGUGAUGGGUGGAUUGUACUCGUCUUCUCCCAUGUCAAUAACCUUAAAAAUCAUCUGGAGCUGAAUGUAUGUUGGUUGUAGGGACAUGGUUCCAUGUAGGAGCUGAUAAGUGACUGCAGCCAUUAUGUUGACGUCAGAUCCGGUAUCGUAGAGUGUCUUCUGAAAAGAAUAUUCGUUGAUUGUGCACUCGAUGCUUGGAACACUAGGGUCGUCCAUCUUGAUCAAGAAAGGCGACUUGAUUUGACGAUCUUGACCUCCUUGAGCUGCAGUGACCAUCUUAGCGGACUCAGUCCACAUUUGCUUAUUCCUAUUCCCCCUGUUGAUCCUCUUCCUUGGUUCAUGUCGGGAUUGCUCUGAGACUAGUGUAGUCUUGUUCUUGAAGGAAAACGUCUCUUUUCUCCCCUUGAUGUAGAAACUAAUCUUGGCAGUACUAGCGUAGAUGACAGCUCCUGAGGUGUUUAGGAAUGGCCUCCCUAAGAUGACGGGUGCCCUCUCAUCAGAACUGGUUUCUAUCACCAAGAAGUCUGCUAGGGCGUACAAGGUACCAACUCGGACGUAGAGGUUCUUCAAUAUUCCCUUGGGGAAACUUAGCGUACGAUCUGCAAGCUGCAAACACAUGGCUGUUUCUAAUAAAGGAUGUGUAAAGAAUUUUUCAUAGAGUCCCUGGGCAUAAUGUUGAGGCUGGAGCCAAAGUCAUAGAGUGCUUCUGGGAAGUCCACCAUGCUGAUGGAGAUCGGGAUGACGGUGCGUCCUAGAUCGCCUCUCUUGACCGGCAGAAGGUCAGUAAUUACUUCCAUAACGGGGUUACUCCAGUAGUUAUGUCCUUAAGCAUCUCAAGGUAGUGAUUGCCUGAGUGUCCAGUAUCUCCAGUGUGUUUGUGCUCGUAGAUCUAGGUUCUUCACUUGGUGGAGUCUAGGAGUUGUAAAAGUCCUUCAUAUUUUGCUCGAAGUGUACCUGCUCAUAGAGACAAGGCAGAGAUCAAGUGCAUGGGCCCUGUUGGUGGAAAACACCAACAGAACCAAAAGUGUAUUUGUUCUUCUCUAACCUCAACCAUAGUGAGCAAGACAAAGUUGAUAAUAAGAUCAUGAGUAUAACAUUUAAAACAUUUGUCAGAUCAAAUCGCUAAACCUAAUGGAAAGAUAAUCUAUCUAUAUUUAUGUUGUUUGUUUAGAAAAUAUAUCUUCCAAAGAUUGAUUGUGCAACAUUUUAGCUCAUAUGAUUAGGAGUGUGGGAUCACAAAGGUGGAUGGACUAAACAUAUUGAAUCGAUUGGGUUGGCUAAUCUAGAGUUGUAAAUCAUACAUGUUUGUCUCUUUUAGUCAUGUGAACGCCAGAACCAAGGAGAAGCUUAUAAAAGUGAUAGUCAAGUACCUUAAGAUGUUAUCUUACUUGAAGAGUGAUGGUACAGUAUCUCCUUGUGGAAGCUUUCCUUACUUAGCGGUUGUGCAUCGUGUUUGUGGCACCCUCCAUGGAUCAUCUCUUAUGAGCUAUGCCUUCCUUGUGUAAAUUGUUAAACUUCAUGUGCUCUCUCUCUUUGUCUCCAAUGUGAGUAUAUCUCAGGACUUCCUAGGUUAAUAUUGAAAGUUUUCCUGCAGGGGUUAGUCCAACAAAAUAUCCAAUAUCUACUAUAGCAUUCUAUCGGCUCAAAAAUCAACCUAGACACCAUGUCUAAUUUGAUUUAGGAGAGCAUUUUAACCUAAGCAUCAUGCUUAAUUUAAAAUCCCUUGGAAAUAAGAUCAUCAUCCCUAAACUAAGCACCAUGCUUAAUUAAGAGAUAAAUGAAACUUCUCCAAACCUGGACAUAUACUAAAGCAAAUAAAGGUAGCAUGAGAGCAUUUAUAGAGUUCUACUCAAGUGGAGAUGAAGUAGUGUGAUUAGUAUUUAACAAAAUUGAGCAUGUCUUAAAGGUUGGGACAACCAACAUAGCAACAUGACAAAGGAUGUUUUUAAUGUAAAGUACUCCCCCAAGCUUGAAUUUUGCAAAAUUCAAGUUUGGAUGAAUUUAAUUCAAUGUUGUAUGAUGAUUGGUUGGACAUACCUCGUGCUUGUUAUUUAUUCGAUCUUCUUGCUCCAAUCCUGGAAAGGUUAGUGACACGAAUACCCGAAGGAAUAUUUUUACAAUUAUCCUUAUAUGCUCAAUACACAAGAUAAUGUUGCAAAUAAUUAAAAUCUCAUGUUACGAUCUGAUCAGUGCUUAUUUUAGGACACUAAGCUUGUCCCUGGGAAACCAUCAAUUUAUGUCGGCGAAGUGGUUUCCCCUCCAACGCUGACCUAUAUCAAGAUCAGCUCAACGAGAUAUGCAAUAUUUAUUAUAGACAUAUGCAUCGACAACCGCCCUUUUAAAGUUUUCAUAAAUAGAAAGGAUGAGGGGGUUGGAGAUCUCGAAUGUGGUGAUGUUGGAGAGACCAAUGGAUUGUGAAGAUGUUGCAUAUGAGCAUGGAGUAAAUGAAGUGGCUAUGAAAUAAUUUCCAUGUUCAUUAAUGCUUAGAGUGAAAUCCAUGUGGUAUGGUGAAAAUGAUAAGGUGAUUGUGGUAAAAAAGGAAAAGAAAAAGGAUACAUGGACGACUUGGUUCGAAACUAGCACAGCUACCGUUCCCCUGCAACGGCGCCAGAAAGCUUGUUGGGUAUUUUAAAUGCAAACAGAAAAAUCCGCAAGCGCAUGGAUACCGAUGUAGCCUUCACCCAGGAGUAUUCCAGAGUAUCGAUUUUCCACAGAGAACGUGAGUGUACUAAUUAAUAUCCAAGAUCGCCCAAGGAUAACUAUAUAAGUAUUUUUUGGUGAGAAGAGAGGAAGUUUCCUAAGAGUUCUCUAGUUGAUCUAAGAAUCAAGAAUUACUUCAAGAUUAUCUAUUUCGGGACAUCAGAGCACUAACCACAGAAAGAGAUGAGAAGGGGGCUAGGAAGGUCUGACUACGGUCCUACAAACACCAAUCCGAAUGAGGUGGAAUACGUCGACCGUUAGGGCUGUCACUACCCUAAGGCUACCACAACAAUCCGCAGGAUUGGGAGGAAUUCCAUGUAAUUGCAAGACUAAACACCACAUCUAAUCUAUUAAUUACUACUCUAAUGUUUCAAAGAUUAGAGCACUUGAUGCAAGCGGGAAUCCAAUAAAUAACUUGAAUGUAAAUAAAAGUAAUUAAAGAACUUAGGAAUUAUGAAUUGAAGAACCUUGAGAACGACGAAGAACGAACCAGUUGCUACAAAAGUACAAUGUUGAGGAAGAUCUGACAGAUCCGGCUCCUCCUCCGCUCUCCUCUUCUCUCUCCCUAUUUUCUAGAUUACAACUAGAACUAACUAGAACUAGAACUAGAGGAACUAGAACUAGAUGAACUAGAACUAGAUCUAGAUGAACUAGAGGUAGAACUAGAAGAACUAGAGGGAUCCUCUCUACUUGGAUGAAGAAUUGAAACCCUAGUUUGAUUCUGUAGAAGAGGUAUGAUCUCCAGGGGCCAGGGGGGUCUGGUUUUAUAGUCCCUUCAAGUGAAUAUGGGUCGUUGGAUCAAACCGACAUUGAUUGAACGGUUAUCCUUGAUCCUUUAGGUCGGUGGAGCAAUAUCCCGAAAGAGAGUCCUGAUUGGACUCUAUGUGAGGGCGGGCGCCUAGGAGAGUAGGGCGGGCGCCCUGUCCCUGAGUCCUCUUGGCUUCCCGUUCGUUCCCGUGGCUUCUGGAGUCUUAUAGAUGAUAGAAAAUUGCACGGCACGUUAAUAUCUCUAUGUAAACCCGACGUGUGGGCCUUUCUUUCGUAUUUCCUGAUAACCCCCUGCAGAAAUAGACAAACACCAAAACUCGUGGAAUUCUGUCAUAUAAAACCCUAAGUCUAGGUGUUGGUUGCAUUUGGAUCCUUUUCUAUGAUUAGUUGAUGGUUAAAUGUGAGCAUUAAGGACCGUCAACACUGAUGUAUCCUGAAUAGGUUGUGUGAGUAUAGAAUGGAAUCAAUAUAAAUUGAGGAAGUCAGGGAUUUACCUUGAAAGCUUGCGCCAAGGUUGCGGCAGCUACCGAUGGAGAUGUCUUUGCUCGUUUAGUGGUGAUCUUCUUGAAACGCACGCUCCGGUGCAUUAAAGCCGCAAAGCUUGGUGCGUUGUUGCCGAUCAGAGAGAUUAGGUCCGAUGGAAGGAGUUCGAUCGGCCUUCCGCUCCUGCUGACUGUCGGUGGUGUAUCGUUGACUUGUGUAAAACGGAGGAAGUAAGUUGCCGAUAAGAAUGAAAGUAAUAGAAGAAUUGAGGCAUCGGUUGAAAACUUACAGUGUUUUCGGAGACUUUGUAUUUGGAGUCGAUCAUACCGUGGUAUGUAAGGGCCGAUCUGCAGAACAGGUGCUCUUUCCAUUCCUCCCACCAUUGUUUGUAUGCCUGAGUAAUGAAGAGAGCUGGGAUCCAAGCUGAUAAAUCAAUGUCUGACGUAUCGGCAUUUGGUGGGAGUUGAUCUAUUCUGAUCCACUCAAGACCGCUAGUUAUGGUCUCCCUUGGCUUCACCACGUCGGCGUAGCAGAGUGCAAUCGGCAGCUGUUCGAAGGCCAGUUGACGAGCUAAUGCCAAUGGAUUAUAAAACUCAUAGGUGAGAUUAGAAGUUUUCCCACUGCCAAAGAAGUUUACUGGUAUAGCUCUCGGAGUGAUAAUUGCCAUCAUCAGAUCAUGGUCCUUGUUGAGGGCAUUAUCGAAGGGGUGGAAAGUGAGUGGGAAUCUGGUCUCUGUAUCCUCAUAGGGCAUCCAUGCCCGCUGGUCUUUGGUCAGACCCUCAUAGAGAGUCUGGAAGAAUCGGCUGACCUGGUCUUCAUUCCCACCAGUACCAGGUAAAACUAUGGCAGCUUCACCAUAGUUCAAAGGGGGGCGAGUUGCCGAUUCUUCAUCAUCCAAUUCAUAAUCUUCGGCUAUGUCUCUGGGAAAGAGCUAUGCAAAAAGAUCGAAUCCAAGGCGCUUAUGCAUAUGAACACUGAGCCACAUAUUGAUGAACCACCAUGGUCCCCCUAAGUUGCCGAUGGGUUGCCCUAGCAGGAGUUUCUCAGCUACCUGAUGGAGGAGGUGAUAGACAGAGCCAAGCAAAUAUCGGCCAAGAGGAAAUCGGGCACCAUUGGCCAGUCUUUCCGCUGCCGAUAGAUAGACAGAGGUUGGCCCUGCCGAUCGGCCACAGAAUACAAACUUAUCUAGCCACAUAUUUAGAAAAAUGGCAUGUUCCCUUUCCCCAACAAAUCCUGUUUUUCGGUACUUCUUAAUGUACCUAGACCAACCGCCGAUGCUGCGAGUUUCCACCUUGGAACUAGGCUUAUUAUUAAACAGAUGACUGCUAUCGGCAGUUGAUAUAUCUAAGCUAGUGAGCAUAAGCACAUCGGCAAGAGUAGGAGAAGCAGGACCAUGGCCGAACACAAAAGCAUUAAGGGUGUCUGACCAAAAGUAUGAGGCAGCUAUCAGCAGCGACUCGUUCCUCUCCAUAUCGGCAAUGGAUAGCCUAAUGCACUGGUCCAAUUUCUGUUCACCCCACUGGACUUCGUUUGAAUUGCCGAUUCUCAGGAACCAGUCUUUCCAUCCCUUGGUGGGACUAGGCCAGGAACAGAAAGUAUCUUUCCACAGAUCUAAGGAGAAAUUUUUGGCUCUAAAAGGGAUCCUAUUUGUCUCUACGUUUAUCAGAUCGGUGGGAUCUGGGUUUCCCAAUGGACCAAUGCACUGGAAGUGAGGUUGAUCGGUAGGAAUCACGAUCUUAUCGGCCAACUCCUAAGCGGUUUGGAGGAUGAAGGAACAAAAAAGGAGAAAAAAAGAAAAAAAGGUACUCAGUAAAUAGAUUUGUAGAUGAACAGGAGUACAGCAAAAGCAUAAAAGAAGGGGGUGGUAAGUUGACCUCAGAGAAGACGAAGUUGAUGGCCAUUUCUUCUCGAAAGAAGGAAGAGAUCGAAGACUCGGAGGAUUGCUGAAGGAAAUUGUUGCCGGAGUUCUUGAAGUUCUCGAACGGUGCCGCCGCCAGGAGGCUGGAUUUGAGGCUGUAGAAUGACAAGAUGGAGGAAGAGUACCGGAGAAGGAGGUAUUUAUAGGACAAAAAAGGUAGGGGCAAAUCUGACUUAUCUCUUUGCCACAUCCGUAAAAUCUGAGGGUGUUCAGGUGGAUAUGGUAACUGUUCGCACGAUAAUCAAGGGAUUGCGUAGUUGAUUUGACAGCAAGCGGUCGUUUUAAAGAUAUCUUACUGUGUAAGAUCGCCUGGUCGGUUCAUCACCAGUCUUCUCUAACGGUAAUAUUGCUGAUGAGCGCAUUAUGGGGAGACUCGGUUCGAGAAGUUGGGAAAUUCGAGGUACAUGUUGUAAGACCGGGCUGAGGUUGUUCAGAUUUGAUGAUUAAUUGCUAAUCGGAAGGAGUAAUUAUGGAAAGGCGUCAUUACUGAGGAGAGUUUCAGAGCAUUAAUUAUUUUAUACUCUGAAAAUGGGGGGCAUGUGUUGACACCGUUUUUGGACACAUAUCUUUGAAUAUGUAUCUGGAGUUAAUGAGGAGUAGAUCGGCAAGCAGGAAGAUGGUGGCUGGUUUGCAGAUGAGUUGCCGAUGGGGUUGGUGCAGAUGGGAGAACGACAGAAUAUGACUAAGUCCAGGAAGUAGUGACGGGAUCAUGCCGAUGACUAGGACUGAUGGUUGCCGAUGACGGUGGAAGGCGGUCUGCCGAUGGUCAUGGAGAAAGAUGCAGGGGUUGCUGGUUGGCUCAUAACAGCGUACCGAUCGGUUGUGGAGGAUAGUUUAAUCUUUUCCCUAGUUAUUAGAGUUUGUUUUGUAUACGGAUUCCGUUUAAUUUGGAAUUUGAGUUCUAGUCGUGUCUGGUUGUAGUUCUUUGGGACAGGAUAUAAAUUUUGACCCCGUGGCAAUGUAACGAGACAUCUAUCAAUCAAUCAAUCACAAGUUUUUACACAUAUUCUAGCAUCUACUUUUCGACGACUUCGUCAUAUUUUAUUUUUACUACGAGUUCUUAGGAAUUCGUCAAGUGAAACUCGACGUGUUCUCAAGUUACGCGUGAACACCUCUUGGCCGUGACAUCCGGGCGCAUCGCUGUUGUCGGGACUAAAGUGUUCGAGUUACCACCUUUGUCGAUUGUAAGGUCAAAUCGGCUGGCUCGCCUUAACGUUUAAAUCGGAUAUUAGCCCUUUGUGUUUACAGAUCAGCUUUUGCAUCAACACAUCUUUUGGCAUGCCCAGUGGGACAGAGAUUCAAGAUCAAGAUCAAUAUGUCGAACACCGAUUCUGACUUGGAGAACGUUAUUCCCGUGACGGAAGCCAAUCUCAGAGAUGAGCAGAAGCAAGCUACGGCAAAAGCCAUGAAGCCGUAUGGUCGUAUCGGAUGGCAUGUCAUGAUUCAACCAAAGUGUCACCUUAUCAACUAGUGUAUGGACAUGAUGCAGUACUACCUUGGAAAUUAAAACUGGUUCUAGGUGAAUGCUUUCUCAGGAUCAAUUAACUAUCGAUGACUAUACUCUGAUGAAAGAGCUUUAAUUAGCAUAGAAGAAAACAAAAAGAGAAUGGCUAAGUGGUAUGAUAAAAAGGUGAAGGCCAAGGAAUUUGCCGAUGGGGAUUUGGUUUGGAAAUUAGUUUUAUCGAUUGGGACUAAAAGCUCAAAAUUUGGAAAAUGGUCUCCUAAUUGGGAAGGUCCUUAUCGGAUAAAUCUGUCUGCCCCAGGCAACGCCUAUAUUUUAGAAACUCUCGAAGGAGUUGAAUUCCAAAGGGCGUUAAAUGGAAAGUACUUAAAAAGAUACUACCCCAGUAUCUGGGUUAAUGCAUAAAAGUAUAUAUAUGCCGAUAACAGUCCUAUCUGCUGGAUGAAAUGAUAGUGUGUCUGAAGCAAUGCAUAAGAAGUUUAGGUGUCGAUAACAAUCCUAUCGGCUUGAUCAAAUACUGGUGUUUUCAAAAGAACUGAUGAGGCAUACUGCCGAUGAAAGGAUUUACACGUUCAGCAAAGUCUGGAUGGCCGAUAUGACAGGCAGGCGAAUCUGAUUGGCUUCCGCUAUUUCUUUGGCAUCUUCAUCGGCAGAGCAUUCCACUGGUUUCAACUUUUUCUUCAUUUGCAAUACCUUGCAAGCUUGUGCAUCCCUCUCUUGUUGAAGAUGAGCGCAUCGGGUAGUUGACUUUCUUCCUAUUGAGCCUGGGACAAAGCUUCCUCCACUUGUUUAAGCUCAGCAAGCAAGGCCUCUCUUCUUGCCGAUAGAUCAGAAAUCUUCUGUUUUAAUUCAUCACCUGAAGAAUGCAGAAUGCUGAUGCUCUUAUGCUUUUCAUCGGCAGCGUGCUUCACUUGCAGCAUCCCCUCUUUAAGCUGGGUGUGAGUGGCUCUAUCGGCAAGGCGUUGGACGGCCUUUUGGUAUUGAAGCUGGCGACUCUCUUGGUUAGCCGCUUGGAAGAGCAUCUCCUCGACAUCGACAGGAAUUUGGCCACGGAGAGUCUUAAAUAUGACUUUGGCUAGAUCAGAAUCAUCUACCAGCUGAGCUGUGUCUUCCUGUAAUAGGGCCAGUAAGUCUUCCAGCUUGGAUUUGAUCUCUGCCGAUGCGAUUCCAAGUGCUAAUGAAGAGCUUUCUUCUUCACCUUCAUCAUCAGAGAUGUCGAUGGCAAAGGAGAACAAGCUAUCGGGAGAAUCUUGCUCCUAGGGAAAGAAGAGGAUAAGUUAACCAGAAUUAAGUAUCGAUAAUGCAAAGUCUGAUGGAUCAAAUGACUUACUUAUUUUAAAGCAAUCUCUUGUGUCUGGCAUGGAGAUGAAGCUUGCACUAUAAUUUGAUCGGCUAGAGCUGCCGAUGGAAUAUCUUCAACUGAAAUUUACCAAGGGUGACGAUGGUAUUUAUAAAAUAAGUCAUCGGUAAAGAUUAUGUGAUCAGUAUUGUUGACACCGUUUUUGGACACAUAUCUUUGAAUACGUAUCUGGAGUUAAUGAGGAGUAGAUCGGCAAGCAGGAAGAUGGUGGCUGGUUUGCAGAUGAGUUGCCGAUGGGGUUGGUGCCGAUGGGAGAACGACGGAAUAUGACUAUGUCCAGGAAGUAGUGAUGGGAUCAUGCCGAUGACAAGGACUGAUGGUUGCCGAUGACAGUGGAAGGCGGUCUGCCGAUGGUCAUGGAGAAAGAUGCAGGGGUUGCCGGUUGGCUCAUAACAGUGUACCGAUCGGUUGUGGAGGAUAGUUUAAUCUUUUCCUUAGUUAUUAGAUUUCGUUUUGUAUAUGGAUUCCGUUUAAUUUAGAAUUCGAGUUCUAGUCGUGUCUGGUUGUAGUUCUUUGGGACAGGGUAUAAAUUUUGACCCCAUGGCAUUGUAACGAGACAUCUAUCAAUCAAUAAAACACAAGUUUUUACACAUAUUCUAGCAUCUACUUUUCGACGACUUCGUCAUAUUUUCUUUUUACUACGAGUUCUUAGGAAUUCAUCGAGUCAAACUCGGCUUGUUCUCAAGUUCUGCGUGAACACCUCUUGGCCGUGACAUCCGGGAGCAUCGCUGUUGUCGGGACUAAAGUGUUCGAGUUACCACCUUUGUCGAUUGUAAGGUCAAAUCGGCCGGCACGCCUUAACGUUUGAAUCGGGUAUUAGCCCUUUGUGUCCGUAGAUCAGCUUUUGCAUCAACAAGUACUUUACCUUGAGGAGGGAUAACAACUGUCUGGUCAGGGAGAACGGCCGAUGAUGUGCCUAGAUCAACUGGAUUGGUGACCUGUUGAGAUACAUCGACUGGGUCUAUUUGCGUUUGAGGCACUGGAUGAGGUGGAGAAGAAGGUGUUGCUUGAAUCUGGGAUGCUAGAUGAGGUGGAGAGGAUGGUGCUGUCUUCUGUCGCUUUGGCUGGGUCUUGGUGCUUUUUGAGCCCUUUCUCUUAGGGAGAGCUUGACUAGGCUAGGAGUCAUCAGCACCCGAUGAUUGAGUGCUCUUGGUCCUUGCCGAUGCGCCGGUCUGCUAUUACAAAAAAAAUCAAAGUUCUAUGGGUUAGAUGUAAAAGCAGAAAAAAUAUUGUUGGAAUUUGAAAGAAUAGAAUGCUUGGUACAAAACAAAGUUACCCAUGACGUUCCAGUCGUGGCCGAUGCACCCUGAAAGAAUAAUGUGAAUAUGGGAUGAAAUUGGUAUAAUAGAAAUUUGAAAAUCUUACUUUGAAAGCUUGUGCUAGCGUGGUGGCAGCUACUGAUGGAGAAGUUUUCGACCGUUUGGUGAUCGUCUUCUUGAAGCAGAUGUUUCGGUGCAUCAGGACUGCUAGGCUUGGCGCGUUGUGACCCAUCAAAGAAACUGGGGAUGAUGGGAGAAGGUUGAUCGGCUUCCUACUUCUGCCCAUUGUCGGUGCUGGGUCGUCAACCUAUUGAAAUAAAAGGGGGUAAGUUACCGAUAGAAUUAAAGUUAACAAAAAUAUCGAGUAUCGGAAAAGAAACUUACAACAUCACCGGGGACUUCAUGCUCGGGAUCGAUCAUGUUGCGGUACAUAUGAGCCGAUACCUUGAACAGAUGCUCUUUCCAUUCUUCCUGUAACAGAACCGCCCAAAUUAUAAGAUAUUAAGCCUGAUAGUGACCAUUUGCACAGUCAAACGACCGAGCUUAAGCCCGUAUAAUCCCGGUAGUCCGUGAAAUCUCGAAGGAUUUCAAACCACAAUUCGUACAUACAGCCAAGAUCGUAAUAAGUUCAGCAGUCACCAUUCAUGAUUACAUCUAGUUUACCACAUUCAUAAAAAUACAUCGGAGUACUUAAAAUUAUUACAAACCAAGUUCUCAAGUAGCGGAAGCUUCAUAGUUCGAAAAUAUCACACACACAUUUAGUCUGGUACAGUGCCAUAGUUCGGUCAUUCCCACAAAAGCAAAAGAGAAGGUGGAGUGACCAUCGCCCUUGGUCUAGUCAUCGCCCAUUGCUGGGAACAAGCAGAGGAUGCAAUAACCAUAGUACAUUUGACCAUCUGCAAAACAACAUGAGAAUAAAACCCUGAGUACGAGAAUGUACUCAGCUAGACUCACCCGUCAUAACUAAAAAUAAAGACUCUUCAUGGAUCAUGAAGGCUGUAUGGUGGGGUAGCUAAGACUUUUUGCAUAAAAGCAUUAUUCCACUAAGCAUAGCCUAGAGACCAUUCUUCUCUUAAUUAGCUCAAGUUUGAUAAUAUCAUUACCUAUUAUCUAGGUUUGCACCUGUACUAUUACAAACAAGUGUAGAAAUAUGAUGGUACCUCAUCAUAGCAUUCAUAAACGAUUUAUCAUCAUAACCCAAGUGUUCCACAGUCCUUACUACGAGGACGAAGCUCAUGUCAAGUGCUCACUAUCUAGGAGCGAUGGCGAUUCGAAUCGAUUUCUAACCAGCUGGCGAGUUAUUCCCCACACAAACCACACUCACUGAUCAAGUGAGCUACAGAUCACCGUGUUACACUAUCCAGGACCAAUUCGCGGGUUCGGCAGGCACCGCCAGUACCCGAGGACCGUUUCGGCGACCGAGGUAUCCAAGGUAUGCCAAGGUUGCGCGCCGCGCCCUCGUCGCUCUCCUCAACCAUCACCAAUACAGCGCAUGGCGGCUCGACUCCCGGCCCGGAUAGUGUUCAGGCUUCACGGUUGGAACGACUUAUCCUUCCAGCUAAGUGUGGGGCAUGCGUUCAACAUGACAAGAGGGCCGUCAACGAUCGGUCCUUAAUCGACACAGGCAGGGGCACUAUGGUCAACCCACCAUAAGACCCUGCCCGGUCUCAAAUUCCUUUCCUCACUUGGUUAUUCUUCCCCAUAGCAAUUACAACUAAUCAAACAGGUGUCCACCUAUAUCUCGCAGGUGACAGGAAAUCACCCGACUUCUACCGGACUAAGCAAGCUAACCAUAGACUCCAUGCCUAUCUACAUAGGACAAGGUAGAUAAACAAGUGGUGAUAUCAAGGAGUACAUAUGCAUCAACGGUAUCAAGCAAUUCCUAUCACUUAAAUGCAACAUAGUAGAACAGGCAUAACAUAUCAUAUAAGUUAGCAAGAAUAUGGAGACUUAGAAUGCUCCGGGGCUUGCCUUUCUCAAACGUGCUCGGCUUGUGAUCCGGGCACUCCUGCAGCUCUUCUCCGAGCUCCGGUCCUCCCAGAGGUUCCUGCUCCUGUGUCUCCCCCGGCUCCUCGGGUCCCACCUCGUUCUCCUGCGAGCCUGUAUGAUGUAUGUGUGCUCAUGAGUGGAGUGCGUGAUGCCCGGGAUGCAAUGCUUAUGCAAGUGGGUAACAGAUGACUAUGACAUGGUGCAUAGAUGAUAUAGGUGGUUAUUUCUACAAGGUAGUCAACAUCAUCCAAGAACAUGUAAUCGAACUACACAUCUAUUACAUUCUCUUCUACAAGUUGUCUUCUUGGUUAACCAGCAAGCUCACAUGAUGCUUCAAAGAUACACCAAACACCCUCUUACUUUAUUUAAUCUAUGUAUAACAAUUCAUAAUUUAUUUAUCCACUUUUAGGCCUACAAAAGUAGCAUAUAUUUCUGUCUAUCAAUAAAUUCCACAAAAAUUAUAGCAGAUCACCAGUCAACCAUAAAGUCUACCAUGAAUUUCUCAUAAUAUUUGGAUAUUUAUUUUGGGCUACAAAAAUCACAAGAUUAAUCCAUAUAAGCAAGUAUAAAUACCCUACUGUUGACCAAGUGUCAAACAACAGAUUUCAUAUUUUUAUAAAUUACUUGUUAACAUAAGAAACAUCCACAAAAUUUUCCAGAUUAAUUGCAUGAUCCAUUUAUUUAUUAAAAAUCAUAAACCACGGCCAUGCAAGUAUUUAAAUCACCAUAAAUUAACUCAUACAGCAAAUAAUGUGUAACAUAUUUUUCCCAGAGCCUACUCACCCAUGCAGAGCCAACAAAAUAAGUUUCAUAUUUUUCUGAGCUAUAUUUUAAUUACUGUGCAUUUUCCAAUUUUUAGCAAAAACAUGGAUUAAAUAUAUUUGUACAGAAAAGUUUUUCAAAUAUAACAUGCAACCACACCAAAGUAUAGAUCUGGAAUUAUAGAGUUCAUCAAAAUUUAUUUCAUCAAUUUUGAAGCUGUAGAACUGAAGUUAUGAAAUAUACAAGAUUUAAUCAAAUUCUGAAAACCUUUAUUUAAGAAAAACAGACAGAAAACGCUAGAUCCACCCAAAUUCACACCUGCAGAGGCGCUGACAGGCGGGACCCAGGGGUCGUGGCCCCACGGGUCAGCCACGCCGCACUCCGGCCGACUUCGGCCGGCCGGCUCUCGCCGACGGCGAGGUCUCCGGCCACGGGGUGAGCACCAACGUGCUCCCCGUAGCGAGGCACACCCAAGGGUGCCCUUGGAUCGGCCGGAAGAUGACCGGAGCACCCCCGCGAGCAUGCAUGGCGGCACGGCGGCGCUGCUCGCCGUGGCCAGGGUGCUCUGGUGCGGUAGAACGCGCGCGGGUACUCGUCCGAGCUUCCUCACCGAGCUACGAACCUAACGCGCUCGAAAGCAAGCGAAACGAGGCAAGAAUGAGUAAGUUGCGACGCAGCGGAGCACUCCGACGAGGUCGGGGAAACUCCGGCGAGCGAUUCAGGGCGUGCGGCGGUCUCUCACCUCGGUAGAGCGUGCGCAGAGGCUUACCGCGGCGAAGACGAGUGCAGCGGUGGUUUUGGCGCCGAGGAUGGGUCACUGGCGUGGCCGGCGGUGAGCGGCGGAGCUCUCCGGCGUUGGCGCUGCGGCGGAGUUGCUGCGGAUGCUGCGCUCGUGAGCGGAGGAAGGAGAGGGGAGCGGGGACGGGACAGAAUGGAGUGGCCUGGGGGCGCGGGGCGGCGUCUCGACCAGGUUAAGGCCGAUCGGCCGCGGCGCGUCCACGACGCCGACGUACGGCCGCCACGUGGCCGACGUCGGGUGACGAAGGCGGGCGUCCGCGCGCGGGAGAGAGAGGGAGGGGAAACCGGGCCGCGCUGUCUGGCUGGGCCGAAACGGAGGCGGGUCGGCCCAGCAGCGCCUGCCCCCUUUCCUUUUUUUCGAAAUUAUUUUCCCAAAAAGCUUAAAUGAGACUUUUGAAGCUUUUACAAAACUUUUUAGGGGUUGGAGUAAAAAAGAAUUGUUCCCCACAAAAUUCUCUACAACUUUGUUCUAAUAAGCAAAGCCAAAUUCCAAAUAGAAUUUGAAUCACAAAUUAAAACUAGUCCUACGUUUUUAAUAAAUUCAUUUUUAGGGAUUUUUGUAUAAAUUCCAUUUCUCAAUUUCUAUAGCUCCAAAAAUAUCACAAAAUUACUCUUAAAUCCCCUAACACAUAUUUCAACCUAAUUUGGACAUUUCAAGAAUUUUAGAAACAAGCAUAAUAUUUUUACCAUAUUUAAUUCACAUAAAGUGAAGCACAUAAAAUCACACUUGAAUGAAUGACAUGCUCAUGUGAUGCUAUGCUUGAUGAGAAUGCUUGUGGAUGGUUUAUGAGACUAAGUGCAUGCUUAACACCAAGGGUGGUACAGCCCUUCCCCCCUUAGGGAAAUCUCGUCCCAAGAUUUGGGUUACUAACCAUUUCUUAUGAAACUUUGGGUAAACUAUUUUUAGGUAAUCCUCGGUUUCCCAGGUGGCAUCUCUAUUGUCGUGAUGACUCCACACCACCUUGUAAGUCUUGACAACUCUAUUCCGGGUUACCGCUCCUUGGUAUCUACGAUACCCACCGGUUGUUCUUUAUACUCUAAGUCUACCUUUAUCUUGAUUCCUCGAGGUUCAAUCCUUUGCUCAGGUACUUUCAAACAUUUUCGCAGCUGUGACACAUGGAAAACUAGAAAGAUCGAGCUCAACUCCUCUAGUAACUGGAUCUUGUAGGCCACAAGGCCUUCUCUUUCUAGUAUCUGAUACGGUCCCACAUAUCGGGGUGCAAGCUUGCUUCGAACUCGGAAACGCUGAACUUUCUUCAUUGGCGUAACCUUGAGGUAAACAUAGUCACCUAAAUUGAACUCGAGUGGUCUUCUUCGCUUGUCUGCAUAACUCUUCCAUCGUGAUUGCGCCGCUCUCAUGUGUUGUUGUAUAAUUUGUACUUUCUUCUCAGCUUCGUUCACGAUGUCGAUACCAUUGUAUCUCCUUUCACCAGGUUCAACCCAGUUUAAUGGAGCCCUGCAUCUUCGACCAUAUAAAGCUUCGAAUGGAGCCAUCUUGAUACUCUCCUGAUAGCUAUUAUUGUACGAGAAUUUAGCCAAAGGUAACCAUGAUUCCCAUGAUCCCUUGGAUGAUAACACACAGGCCCUCAACAUAUCUUCGAGCACAUGAUUGAGUAUUUCCGUUUGACCUGAAGUUUGGGGAUGAUAUGCGGUACUCCUUACCAGACUAGUCCCCAAACUCUUAUGCAUUCGUUCCCAGAAAUGAGCAGUGAACUACGGUCCUCUAUCUGAUAUGAUGGUCUUAGAAAUACCAUGUAGCUUGACGAUCUCAGCUAUGUAUAUAUCAGCAUACUCAGGAGGUCGGUACGUGUUCUUAACAGGAAUGAAAUGAGCCGACUUGGUCAAUCGGUCGAUGAUUACCCAAAUCGAGUCAUUCCCCUUUCGUGUUGUCGGUAAACCUGUGAUAAAGUCCAUACUGACCUCUUCCCAUUUCCACUCUGGGACUGACAAUGGUUGCAACAGACCUGCAGGUUCAUAUGUAUAGCCUUGACUCUGCAACAUGUGUCACAACGGGCCACAUAUGUUGCUAUCUCUUUCUUCAGUUUAGUCCACCAAAAGUGAGAUCUUAGGUCUUGAUACAUCUUACUACUGCCAGGAUGAAUAGAAAGCUUGGAGAGAUGUGCUUCAUCCAUGAUGCGAUUCUUUAAUUCCCGAUUCUUCGGAACUACCAGCCGGUGCUGAAACCACAAUACCCCUUUUUCAUCAACCCGGAACUGAGUUUUUGGGUCGUUUUUGAUCUUUUCUUUGAUGUGGAAAAUACCCUUGUCUGUUUUCUGACCCUCGAUGACUUGACUUUCAAGUGAACAACUGAGCUGUAUGUGACAUAAGACUUCAGGAUGCAUUAGAUUGAAACCAUCCUCAAACAACGGUUGAACCACUUGAUAGUGCGGUUUGCGACUCAAAGUGUCUGCUACCACGUUAGCCUUGCCUGGAUGAUAGUGCACUUCUAGAUCGGAAUCUUUGAUCAGCUCCAACCAUCUUCGUUGCCUCAUAUUCAACUCGGACUGAGUGAAGAUGUACUUCAGACUUUUAUGAUUUGUGUAGAUAUGACACUUAUUUCCUAACAAAUAGUGCCACCAGAUCUUCAAAGCGUGCACCACUGCUGCUAACUCGAGGUCGUGAGUUGGGUAGUUGACUUCGUGCUUUCUCAACUGUCGUGAAGCAUAAGCUAUAACUCUACCAUCUUGCAUCAGCACACAUCCUAAACCACUUUUCGAUGCGUCGCAAAACACAUCAAAAGGCUUCUCGAUAUUGGGUUGCGCCAGAAUGGGAGCGGUGGUUAGCAACUUUCGCAAGGUGCGGAAGGCUAGUUCACACCCUUCCGUCCAGACAAACUUAUGAUCCUUUUGUAGCAAACUGGUCAUUGGCUUAGCAAUCUUGGAAAAGUCGGGUAUGAAACGACGGUAAUACCCGGCUAGGCCAAGAAAGCUUUGAACUUCCGAGACAGAAGUUGGUGCCUUCCAGUCCAUGACUUCCUAUACCUUUGACGGAUCCACAGCUGUUGGUGCAAAAGCUGAUCUGCAAACACAAAGGGCUAAUACCCGAUUUAAAAGUUAAGGCGUGCCAGCCGAUUUGACAUUACUAUCGGCAAAGGUGAUAACUCGAACACUUUGGUCCCGACAACAGCGAUGCGCCCGGAUGUCAAGGCCAAGAGGUGCUCACGCGGAACUUGAGAACUCGCCGAGCUUAAGUCGAUGAAUUCCUAAGAACUCGUAGUAAAAAGGAAAAAUAUGACGAAGUCGUCGGAAAAGUAGAUGCUGGAAUAUGAGUAAAAAAACUUGUGUUUGAUUGAUUGAUAGAUUUUUCAUUACAAGGCCCUAGGGUCUACAUUUAUACCCUGUUCAAAGAGCUACAAUCAGACACGACUAGGACUCAAAUUCCAAAUUAAACGGAAUCCGUAUACAAAACGAAUUUAAAUAACUAAGGAAAACAUAAAACUAUCCUUCUGUAACUGAUCGGGACACCGCCACAGAUCAAUCGGCAAUCUCCACGCUUUCCUUCAGAGUCAUCGCCAGACCUCCUGUUAUGGCCAUCGGCAAACACUAAUACUGAUCAUCGGCACGAACACGUCACCACCUCUGGAUUUAGUCACAUUCAACUGUCUCUUCAUCGGCAACCACCUUCAUCGGCAACUUCCCUGCAGACUAGGUACCGUUGCUCCAUCUGCCGAUCUAUACUUUACUGAUUCCCGGGUACAUGUCCAAAAAUGGUGUCAAUAGAUGCCCCCUAAUUUCGGAGUAUAAAAUCAUUAAUGCUCCAAAAUUCUCUACAGUAAUGAUGCCUUUCCGCAAUUAAUUCUCCUAAUUUGGUAACCGUUCAUCAAAUCCGAACAACCUUGGCCCAAUUCUCUUGCAUAUUCCUCGAAUUCCUCAACCUCCCGGACUAAACCUUUCCACUUUAUGCGCCCAUCGGCAAUAUUACCAUUAGAGGGAACUGCCGAUGGACUGACCAAGAGAUCUUGUACAGUGAAAUAUCUCCAGAAUCAUGACCGCUUGCCGUCAAAUCAUCUGCGCAAUCCCUUGAUUAUCGUGCGAACAGUUACCAUAUCCACCCGAGCACCCUCAGAUUUCACGGAUGCGGCGAAGAGAUAAGUCAGAUUUGCCCUUGCCCGUUUUGUCCUAUAAAUACUUCCUUCUCUGGUACUCCUUCUCCAUCUUGUCAUUCUACAGCCCAAAACCCACUUCCACAGCGGCGGUGCCAUCCGAGGUUUCCAAGAACCCCAACGAAGGCCUUCUUCACCAGUCCUCCAAGUCUUCAACCCUUUUUCUUGCGAGAAAAUGGCCAUCAACUUCAUCGUGCCUGAGGUCAGUUCACCACCCUUCUUUUCCGCAUCUUUACUGUACUCCUAUUCAUCCGCAAUUCAUCUUACUGAAUACCCCUUUUUCUUUUUUGUUCUUCUUUUUAUCCUCAAAAACCUCUAGGAUUUGGCUGAUAAGAUCGUUAUUCCUACCGAUCAACCGCACCUCCAAUGUCUUGGCCCGGUAGGAAACUCAGAUCCCACCGAUCUGGUAAACGCAGAGACAAAAAGAGUUCGUUUUAGAGCCGAAAACUUGUCCCUAGAUCUAUGUAAAGAUGCCUUCCGUUCCUGGCCCAGUCCUACCAAGAGAUGGAAGGAUUGGUUCUUGAGAGUCAGCCACUCAAAUGAGGUUCAAUGGGGUGAGCGAUAAUUAGAUCAGUGCAUUAGGUUGUCUCUUGCCGAUAUGGAGAGGAAUGAGUCACUACCAAUUGCUGCCUCCUACUUUUGGUCAGACACGCUCAACGCUUUUGUCUUUGGCCAUGCCUCUGCUUCUCCUACACUUGCCGAUGUGCUCAUGCUCACCGGCUUAGAUAUAUCCACUGCCGAUAACAGCAAUCUAUUUGACACCAGACCCAGUUCUAAGGUAGAAACUCGCUCUAUCGGUGGUUGGUCUGGGUAUAUUCAGAAAUACCGAAGAACAGGACCUGUUAAUCCAAAGGAACAGACCACUUUCCUGAAUAUGUGGCUAGAUAAGUUUGUAUUCUGUGGUCGAUCGGCAGGACCAACUUCUAUCUACUUAUCGGCAGCAGAAAGAUUAGCCGAUGGCGGCAGAUUCCCGCUUGGCCGAUACCUGCUCGGCUCUCCUUAUCAUCUCCUCCACCAAGUAGCCAGGAAACUCCUGCUCGGCCAACCCAUUGGCAACUUAGGGGGUCCUUGGUGGUUUAUCAACAUGUGGCUAAAUCUCCACAUGCACAAGCACCUCGAAUUCGACCUUUUUGCACAGCGCUUCCCCAGGGACAUAGCCGAGGACCAUGAACUGGAUGAAGAAGAAUCAGCAACUCCCUCUCCCUUGAACUUUGGCAAGGCUACCAUAGUCUUACCUGGCACUGGUGGCAAUGAAGACCAGGUUAGCCGAUUCUUUCAGACUCUGAUGAAGGUCUGACCAGAGACAGCGGGUGUGGAUGCCUUAUGAAGAUCCAGAUUCCAGAAUUCCCCUGAUCUUCCACCCCUUCAAUGAUGCUCUCAACAAGGACCGUGACGUGAUGAUGGCAAUUAUCACCCCAAGGGCCAUACCGGUGAACUUCUUUGGCAGUGGGAAAGCUUCUAACCUGACCUAUAAAUUUUAUAACCCAUCAGCACUAGCUCGCCAACUGGCUUUCGACCAACUGCCGAUCGCACUUUGCUACACCGAUGUGAUAAAGCCGAGGGAGACUAUCACCAGCAAUCUUGAAUGGAUCAGGGUAGCUCAGCUUCCGCCAAACGCUGAUACAGAUGUCGAUCUAUCGGCUUGGAUCCCAGCCCUCUUCAUUACUCAGACAUACAAACAGUGGUGGGAAGAAUGGAAAGAGCAUUUGUUCUGCAGAUCGGCCCUCACAUACCGUGGUAUGAUCGACCCCAAAUACAAAGUCCCUGACAAUACUGUAAGUACUUUAAACCGAUGCUUCAAUCCUUUCACUUUUAUUUCCCAUCGGUAACUUACUUUCUUUGUUGUAUACAGGUCGAUGAUACGCCACCAUUAAUCAGCAGGAGUGGCAUGCCGAUUGAACUCCUUCCAUCGGGCCCAAUUUCUUUGAUCGGCAACAACGCCCCAACCUUGGCUGCUAUAAUGCAUCGGGGUGUGCGUCUUAAGAAAGUCACCACCAAGCGGACGAAAACAUUCCCAUCGGUAGCUGCCACUGCUUUGGCACAAGCCUUCAAGGUAAAUUCUUAAAUUCUUCAACUUAUACUGAUUCCAUUCUUAUACUUACACAAUUUUUCAGGACACAUCGGCUAGCAUGAGAACUUUAUCGUUAACUUUAUUAUUUUAACUAGAACCUCAUCAAUAUCCUGUUACACUUGUACUCACACAACUUUCAUCAUUGUAUCAGCAUACUGGCAAAUUGGCAAAGACCAGAAGUACGACUGCCGAUGCCCCCCAGACCCACCAACCAAAGAGAAAAGGUUCCAAGAGCACCAGAACACAAGCUAAGCAUCAGAGAACAGCAACGCCUCCCCCUUCUCCAAGGUCACCGAUCCCGGUGGAAUCGUCUCCCUCUUCUCCACAAGAAGAACCCCAAACAGAAGAACUCCAGCCAGAAGAACCUCAGCCAGAAGGAACAUCGGCUGAUGUACACGAGCAGACGGCCGAUCCAGCAAGCUUGAUUAUAGCAUCGGUAGUCUUCUCGAUUCAGACAAGUACUGCACCCCCUCAAGGUAACAUACUAUCUAUUUAUUGCCGAUGACCCUACUUUUCCACUUUAUAAUUAACUCUGUUAAUCUUUCAGCUGACAUAGUCUCAUCGGCAAUUCCAUCCGAUCAGCCUGUAGUUCCAUCGGCCUCAACUAGUCAGAGGCGAGAGAUAGCUCUAAAACAAGUAAGUUACCUGAUCUCUAUUUUUGUCAUUACCAAUACUUGAUCAUGAAAUAAAUUAUUUUAUCUUCCUUUUCAGGAACAGGAUUCUCCCGACAGCUUGUUCUCCUUCUUCAUCGAAAUCUCUAAGGAUGAAGGUGAGGAAGCAAGUUCUUCUCGAGCGGUUGGAAUCUCAUCGGCAGAGAUUAGAUCAAAGUUGGAAGAUUUGUUGGCUCUCCUACAUCAAGACACGGCUCAAUUGGUUGAUGACUCCGAUCCGGCCAAGGCCUUGUUCAAGACUCUGAGAGGCCAAAUUCCUGCCGAUGCCGAGGAGAUCCUCUUCAAGGCGGCUCACUUGGAGAGUCGACAGCUUCAGUAUCAAAAGGCUGUUCAGUGCCUUGCCGAUAGAGCUACUCGCGCCCAGCUCUCAGAGGAGAUGAUGAAAGUAAAGCUCCUUGUCGAUGACAAGCAUAUGAGCAUCGGCAUUCUGAAAUCCUCAGGAGAUGUGCUGAAGCAAAAGAUCUCUGAUCUAUCGGCAAAGAGAGAAGCCCUGUUGGCGGAACUCAAACAAGUGGAAGAAUCUCUGUCCCAAGCUCAACAGGAAGAAAGCCAGCUGCCCGAAGCAAUCAAGACACUUGAACAGGAGCGAAACAUCCAAGCUCGCAAGGCAAUGCAGAUGAAGAAGAAACUGUAGCCAGUGGAGGGCUCUGCCGAUGAAGAUAUGAAGGAGAUAGAAGAAGCCGACCAGAUUCGUCUGCGCGCCAUAUCCACGAUCCAGGCUCUGCUGAGCAUAUAAAUUCUUCAUCGGCGGCAUAUCCUGCUCUAUUCUUUUAAACACUCCUGAUUAUUUUGGCCUAGCCGAUAGGACUGUUAUCGGCACCUUUUAAAACAUUAAGUCCGGCUCCAGAUACACUUUAAUCCAGCCGAUAGGAAUGUUAUCGGCAUUUAAACUUUCAUGCAUCAAGCCAUAUGCUAGGAUAAUAUUUCUUUAAGUAUUUACCAUUCAACGCCCUGGGAAAUUCAACUCCUUCGAGAGUUUCUAAAAUAUAGGCAUUGCCAGGAGCAGAUCGGUUUAUCCGAUAAGGACCCUCCCAAUUGGGAGACCAUUUCCCAAAUUUUAAACUUUUAGUCCCGAUCGGUAAGAUUAGUUUUCAUACUAAGUCUCCAUCGGCAAACUCCUUAGCCUUUACUUUCUUAUCAUACCAUCUGGCAACUCUUUUUUUAUUUUCUUCUAUGCUUAUCAAAGCCCUCAGCCGAUGCCCUGCUAAAUCAUCCAAUUCGUCUUUCAUCAAGGUAGCACAGUCAUCGGUAGUCAACUAAUCUUGAAAACAGAGUCACCUCGAUCCAGUCUUAAUUUCACAAGGUAGCACUGCAUCAUGCCCAUAUACCAAUUGAUAAGGUGAAACUUUGGUCGACCCAUGACAAGCCAUCCGAUAUGACCAUAAAGCUUCAUUCCACAAUGUAUGCCACCUCCUAGGAUUUUCUUCAAUCUUCCGUUUAAUAAGUUUGAUAAUUCCCUUGUUAGAUGCCUCGGCCUGCCCAUUAGCUUGAGCAUAAUAAGGGGAAAAAUUUAACACUUUAAUUCCCAUACCGAUUGCAAACUCAUCAAACUCCCCCGAUGUAAACAUAGUACCCUGAUCGGUAGUAAUUGUUUGAGGAAUACCAAAUCGGUAAAUAAUAUGCUCCUUUACAAAAUCAAUCAUAUUGGCCGAUGUGACUUUCUUCAAAGGAAUAGCUUCAACCCACUUGGUGAAAUAAUCAGUAGCAACCAAGAUGAACUUAUGCCCUUUGCUAGAAGGUGGAUAAAUCUGGCCGAUCAAAUCAAUAGCCCAUCCCCGGAACGGCCAAGGUUUAAUGAUGGGAUUCAUGGCCGAUGCGGGUGCCCUUUGAAUAUUGCCGAAUUUCUGACAACCUUGACACCCCUUGAAAUAUUUAAAGCAAUCUUCAAGUAUGGUUGGCCAAUAAUACCCAUUCCUCCUAAUCAUCCAUUUCAUCUUAAAAGCCGACUGAUGUGCUCCACACACUCCUUCAUGGAUUUCUCCCAUCAAACUUUUAGCUUCAUCAUCAUCUAAGCACUUGAGAAGAACUCCAUCGAUUGUUCGAUAAUAUAAUUCAUCCUCGAGGAGCACAUACUUGGCAGCUUGAAACCGAACACGUCUCUCAACCUUCUUAGAUGGAUCCUUUAAAUAAUCAAUGAUUUCUUUUCUCCAAUCAUCGGCACCGAUUGACGAUAUUGUAUUUAAUAUGGGCUGAUAUCCCGAGGUAUGCUGAGCCAACCGAUUAGCUUCCUCAUUAUGUAAUCGAGAAACAUGCUCUAAUCAGAAAUCUUUGAAUUCCUUCAACAGUUGUAUACUCUUUUCGUAAUAAGUUAUCAGGACUUCACUUCGGCAUUCAUAGCUUCCAGCCAAUUGAUUUAUAACCAGCAUAGAAUCCCCGAAGACUUCAACAGCAUCAGCAUGAAUUUCUCUUAACAACUCUAACCCCUUGAUUAAAGCUUGAUAUUCGGCUUGAUUAUUCGUUGAUGUGGCAACAAUCGGCAAAGAGAACUCAUACUUCCUUCUCUUAGGGGAAAUUAACACUAUGCCAAUUCCUGCCCCCCGGUCACACGUAGAUCCAUCAAAGAAGAGCGUCUAAGGUACGAUCUCCAAAGUAUCUACUGUACCCCGAUGUUGAGUCACAAAAUCGGCCAUGAUCUAUCCCUUAACCGCCUUAGCCGAUUCGUACCGCAGAUCGAAUUCCGACAGUGCCAAAAUCCAUUUGCCGAUCCGACCACUCAUAAUCGGCAUAGACAACAUAUAUCGGACUACACCAAGAUUGCAUACAACAGUGCAUUCGGCCGAUAGUAAAUAGUGCCUCAACUUAAUGCAGGAGAAAUAUAGGCAUAAACAUAAUUUUUCAAUAGCCGAAUAUCUGGUUUCAGCAUCGAUCAAUCUUCUCCUUAAAUAGUAAAUCACUCGCUCCUUCCCUUCAAAUUCUUGAAUUAAAGCCGAACUGAUGACCAUCCCAUCAGUAGAUAAAUAUAAUCUGAAGGGCUUUCCUUGCUAAGGUGGAAUUAAAACCGGAGGAUUUACCAAGUAAUUCUUGAUUUCAUCUAAAGCCAACUGUUGCUCUUUCCCCCAUAUGAACUCUUCAUCGGCUUUCAAUUUAAGCAAAGGACUGAAAGCACGAAUUUUACCAGAUAAAUUAGAUAUAAAUUGCCUGAUAAAAUUUAAUUUGCCGAUCAAGGAUUGGAGCUCAGUUUUGUUAGCAGGGGCAACAAUUUUGUUGAUAGCAUCAAUAGAUCAUCUACUAAUUUCAAUUCCUCUACGAUGCACCAUGAAACCAAGAAACUGCCCUGCCGAUACACCAAAUGCACACUUAUUGGGAUUCAUCUUUAAACCAUGUUUCCUUGUGCAUUCCAACACCUUUCGCAAAUUGGCAGGAUGCUUUGUGAAAUCUCCAGACUUAACCACCACAUCAUCAAUAUAAAUUUCCACCAGCUUGCCGAUGAACUCAUGGAAGAUGAAAUUCAUAGCCCUCUGAUAGGUAGCACCAGCAUUUUUCAAACCAAAGGUCAUGACUAUCCAUUCAAACAACCCAACAUGACCAGGACAUCUAAAUGCAGUCUUUGGAAUAUUUUCCUCAAUGAAUAUUUGAUUAUAUCCUGCAUUGCCAUCCAUGAAGCUAAUAAUCUGAUGCCCAGCCGCAGCAUCAACCAAUAAAUCGGCAACCGGCAUCGGGUAACCAUCCAUUGGCGUAGCUUUGUUAAGAUUCCUGAAAUCAAUGCAAACUCGAAGCUUCCCAUUUUUCUUGUAAAAUGGGACAAUAUUAGAAAUCCACUCGGAAUACUGACACUGCCGAAUAAAUUUAGCUUCAAUAAGUUUGGUUAUUUAGGCCUCAAUAUCAAGAAGAAUAUUAGGAUUACAUCGGCGAGCUGACUGUUGAUGUGGCCGAAAUCCAGACUUGAUAGGCAACCGAUGUUCAACAAUCGAUCGGUCUAAACCAGGCAUCUCAGUAUAAUCCCAAGCAAAGCAAUCUUUAUAUUCCUUUAACAAAUCGGUUAACUGCUGCUUACACUCAGAAUUUAACUUAGCACUAAUGAAAGUAGGUCUAGGUUUAUCACCACUACCUAUAUCUACCUCUACUAAAUCAUCGGCCGAUGUGAACCCCUGCCCUAGCUUUCCAUCAUCGGUGAACCUAUCCAUUAAAACUCUUCAUCAGAACCGACUGCUUGGAUCGGUGGAAUUUCAUAAUCAGCAACUUUGAGGAAAUCCUUCUCCCAAACUUCCCCUGAGAUACACCUGGUUCUUUCAUAAGUAUCUGCCUCUGCCAAUGCAAUAACAUAAGAAGAAUCUCCCGGGACAAUCUCAAUCUUGUCACCUACCCACUGAACCAAGCAUUGGUGCAUUGUAGAUGGGAUGCAACAAUUGGCAUGAAUCCAAUCUCUCCCUUGCAGUAAAUUAUAAGCACCUUUCCCACCGAUCAUGAAGAAAGUCGUCGGCAAGGUUUUGCUGCCGAUGGUCAACUCGACGCAUAUUGCCCCUUUAACUGGAGACACAUUUCCUUCAAAGUCCUUUAGCAUCAUAUCGGUCUUGGUCAAAUCUUGAUGUCCUUUCCCAAGCUUUCGAUAGACUGCAUAAUGCAUAAUAUUGAUAGCAGCCCCACCGUCAACAAGUAUUUCGGUCAUCGGCUGCCCAUCAACCCUUCCUCUGACAAACAAAGCUUUAAGGUGCUGCCUUUCAUCAUCGGCAGGCUUUUCAAAGAUAGCUGUCAUUGGAUCCAGAGCCAACUGAGCUAUCUGAUCGGAAAAAUCCAGCCCCUCUACAUCACUGGAUGGCGCAAGGAACUCCAUCGGCAACAUAAAUACCAUGUUGACAUCUGCCGAUGGACCUUUUCCAUUAGGAUCCGGUUGCUGCUGAUCUCCAGACUGGCCAGAAUUCUCGCCUUUGUUUAGCUCUUCUCGUCUUUCACGCCGCAACCGCCUUUUCUGUGUCCUAGUCAACCCCUCUGGACACCAUGGAGGAAGUUGUGGCUGCCUUACCGAUGGGCGACGAUUUUCCCUUGACUCCGUCCGAUAAGUAUUGGCAUCCCUGCAAAAUAUGAACUCAUCGGGAACUCGUGCAUUAGCCAUUUCCUCAAGUUCUUCUCGGUCCCUAGGAAAAUAUUCAACACAAUGACCAAGUCUAUCAUGCACACUGAGCCUGCCCUCCAGUCGAUCAUGUACUAAAGUUCUCCCCCUAAUUGGCCCAUCAAAUCAGCGGUCAUUGUUCUGAUACUGCCGAUUCGAUCUGUCAUACCGAUCAUAACCAUUGCAUUCAGGGUAGUCUCUAACAGUAGGAAGCUUAAUAUUUUGCUCCCAACAAUGGAUAAAGAUCGGACAAUUCCAAUGAUCCCUAUGCCGAUUCCACUCCUGUCGGCGUCUUUCUUCUUCCCGACGAUAAUCCUCCUGCUGGCGCCGAUACCGAUUUUCACGUUGCUACCAAGUCUCCCGAGGCCUUCUAUGAGUUAUCACAAUACCAGAUCGGGGAGGCCUCCCUGAGUUAGUUCCCUCAUAGAUCAAACCUUUUCCUUUAGCAUCAGCAGCAGUAAUCUGAUGCUGAGGAUCCACCGAUGCACUCCUUUCAGCUGCUUCUGACGUCAAGACCUUGGUCUUUCCCUUAGCAUCCAACAUAUUUGUCGGGAAAGGAUGUUGAUCAAUUUUCAUCGGCUUCUGAGCUUUAGAACUAUCAAACUUGAUUCUCCCAGACUCUAUAGCCGAUUGUAGUUGUUGCCUGAAGACCUUGCACUCAUUGGUACUGUGAGAAGUCGCAUUGUGCCAUUUGCAAUAUUUCAUCUUCUUCAAUUCCUCAGCCGAUGGAAUUACAUGAUUGGGUAACAAUUUGAUCUGGCCUUCCUGAAGCAGAAAGUCAAAUAUCCUAUCGGCUUUGGUGAUAUCAAAUGCAAACUUCUCUGGCUCUUUAUGCCCAAAAGGGCAAGACAUUGGCUUUUUGUUCUUCACCCACUCUGCUAAGCUGAUGAGUGGCUCUUCAUCAGAAUCUAAGCUUGCUGCCUCAUCGACAAAUGAUACCUUUUUGUUCCAUGCUCUCUUGGGUUCAAAAGGCUUAAUAUCUCGGUCAGAAAUGCUUUGCACCAAGUGACUCAGACUUUCGAACUUUUGAGAAGUGUAUUUGUCUCUGAUAUGUGGCAACAGCCCUUGAAAAGCCAAAUCGGCAAGCUGCCGAUCAUCCAGAACCAGGCUAUAACAUUUAUUCUUGACUUCCCGUAACCUUUGCACAAAGCUUUCAACCGAUUCAUCAUUGUGCUGCUUCAACCUGACUAAAUCAGUAAUUUUCUUCUCAUGAACUCCAGAGAAGUACUUGUGGAACUGUUUCUCUAGAUCGGUCCAAGUGAUCACUGAGUUGGGAGGUAACGAAAUAAACCAGGUAAAGGCCGAUCUAGACAAAGAUGAUGAAAAUAGAUGAACCCUCAAUUCAUCUCUGUUAGCAGCUUCCCACAUUGAAUGAUGAAUCUGUUGACGUGCUCCAUAGUUGAUGUGUCAUCCUGCCCAGAAAACUUAGUGAAAUCUGGUACCUUGUACCGAUUUGGAAGUGGAAUUAGAUCAUAUGCAGGAGGAUACGGUGUCCGGUACGAGUAAGUGUUGACUUUGGGUUUUAUCCCAAAUUGGUCUCUCAUUACUUCAGCUAUCUUAUCGGCCCAAUAAGCAUCGGCAUCUUGCCGAUGAGGCGGUUGUGGCUCUGGCACCUGCUGAUAUGCUUCCACAUGCCGCUGAGGUGCAAGAUCUGCAUGGAACAUGGGGUUGAUCAUCUGACCACCAAUCUGUUAACCAAGAUUCAUCGGCUGAUUAAUCAAUCCUUGAUUUUCAAAACCAGGUUGAACUUGUCCUUGUUGGAACCCUACCGCCUGAUGACUCUGCUGAGGCAUCUGUGGAAAGACUGGCUGCCAUGUCCAUCCACUAUUAGCAUUCAUCAGCAUGAACCCUGCCGAUGACUGGAAAUUGGGCAUCAUCAUUGAAUUGACAUACCCUGGCUGAGUCAUAAACCUCUGUUGCGUCGGCAUUGAAACUGCCGAUGCGUUAGACAUCUGGAACAUUGGAGCUUGAGAAUUCCCAGUGUAAGGUCUUGUAGUAGUAGUUGUAGUAUACUGGGGACUCUGAUUCAUCGGCAAAUUUGGAGGUGCUGAUGCCAUAGGAGCCUUGCCUCUCAUAUCAGCCGUUUGAGAUGUGCCAGGAGUCUUCAACAUCAUCUCAGGGGGCAUACCAUAACCCCACCAGUUAGGAGGAACAGAUCCCAACAUUGCCGAUGCCAACAGAUCUGUGGCAAGCUUGAUUGAUUCGUCUGAUGUUGAUGGAUUGGUUGUCAUCGGUGUAGAUUGCGCGUUAGUGACUCCUAAUGUGCUUGGAGGAACUGUAGUCUCUGUGCCCGCAGCGGCUGUAGUAGCCGAUGGAGCUGUGACCACUGGUGAUCCUGGCUGAUGAUAGACAGGGCCCACAUAGUUUGGGGGCAAUUGUCCUUCUUUGAAAGUUCUAGCUGUUGGGUAUUCUUAACAUCAUUACCAAAAGUAGACUAAGUUCUCUAAAUCUAGUAACGGUGCCAAAAAUGCCAAACCUAUCCCUCACACCACUUAAGCCAAGUUGUCAUCCCUAGCAUGACAUGAGAGACGCGGUAUUGAAAUAUGCAAUUGCUCUUCUAAAUAAAUAAUGAAUGGGAUCUGCAAGCGCACAGAUUAAUACCGAUGCAGCAUUUUAACCGGGAAGUAUUCCAGGUAUCGUUAUUUAUAUUUUUACCACUGGGAAGGGAUUAGCAAUCAUCAAUAUUGAUUAUAGAAUAGAAUAUGAGAUUGAGCAUCUAUCAUUGCAUGUAUAAUUGAGAACAUUAUAUCUAACUCUUCCAUACAGGGAUAAGUGUCACAUAAAGGAUAUAUGAAAUAAUGAAUAGUGACAAGGAUAAUUAAUCUGAUCUAGCCACAUAAUAAAUAUGAUAAUCACCUCAAUUAGAUACUCUAGAAAGUCAUUAGCAUGGUAUUAGAACGAACUACAAGAAUAUUCCCUAAGUUAUUCUCAACUAUAUAGUUUAGCAUUAUCAUAGUUAGUGCAAGCAUACUUAGCAAUCAUUGUGAGACAAGACUACGCCCAUGCAUAGUGAUAUUAGCAAGGUAAAUGAGAAACAUAGCAAUCACUCCCCUAUAAUAAUAUUGCUCUGCCAGCCCAAUACACGAGAGGGGGACUAUAUAAGAAUCAAUGAAGCUGUCACUAUCACGAACUACCCCACGAUCUGGCAUAUUGGGUACAAUCGCAGAUAAAUAUGGUAUAAGCACCACGCCUACACAAUAUCUAUCAUUUACCCAUGGAUCCAAUGGAUAAACGCUAUACGAUCCUAAGCAUGUAUAUAGAUCCAAUCUAACUAAGCCAAGUACAUAACUAUGAUAAACUAAGAACAAUAUAAUCUUGAAUAUAAGCAAGUAGAGCAAAGUCAUAAGCAAUAUAUUGAAGUAGAACAAAGUCAUAUUCAUAAUACUGAAGAACAAAGAUAAUUAGAAAGCAAUUAGAAGCACAAUUAGAGAAUUACCAAGAAUCCUCCUGACAGAUCCGAAAACCAAUCAAGGAUUGACUCCUUCUAGUUCUAAUCCUAUGUAGCUAUGCUAAUCUAGAUAUCUAAUUGAUGUGGUGGCUCUAAUCUUGAUCAGAGGCUUCUUCUCCCUUGAGGAACAAUGAAUUAGGGUUGAGAGGCUCUCCCUUCCAGGGGCCAGGGGGUCUGGUUUUAUAGUCCCUUCAAGUGAAUAUGGGCCGUUGGAUCAAACCGACAUAGAUUGUACGGUUUAGAUUCAUCCUUUAGGUCGGUGGAGAUCUCCCACGAAGCAAAGUCCUGAUUGGACUCAAAGGGGGCGGGCGCCCAGGGGAACAGGGCAGGCGCCCUGCCUCUGGCCCCGUUUCGUCUCCGCUUCGGUCUCGUGGCUUCUGGAGUCUUCUAGAUGUAAGAUAAUUGUGCGGCACGUUAAUAUCUCUAUGUAAUCCCGACGUGUGGGCCUUUCUUCCAUAUUUCCUGAUAACCCCCUGCAGAAAUAGACAAACACCAAAACUCGUGGAAUUCUGUCAGAUAAAACCCUAAGUCUAGGUGUUGGUUGCAUUUGGAUCCUUUUCUUUAUUUAUUUGAUAAUUAAAUUUGAUACUUAAGGACCGUCAACAAACUCCCCCAAGCUCACCUCUUGCUCGUCCCUGAGCAAGGAUAGACUCAGCUAUGGAUCAUAAGUUGUUGCAAUAUUUUAAAAAUUGACGGUACACAUGCUUUUUAAAUAAGAUCUCAUCUCUGAGUUAGAGUAAACUGUCAAGACUUAAAACUUACUUACUUUACCUUUCACCAUGGGACUUGUAACCGUCACUUCUAUCUUGAGUAGUUAAAAGAUAGAACAGUCUAGUCAAGUGCCAUGUCUCUUAUUCUUGAUCAGCUAUAGCUCUGGUGUUUUUUUGUAGAUUUUCAAAUAAAACUCAGAGAUUCCUUGUAUGACUUCUCUCAUAUCUCUCUUUUGUGGUAUUUCUGGAUCCUUACCAAGGCAGUAAUGGUAUAUGCCUUCUCUCAAGAUAUGUAGUAUUUAUGGUAUAAAGCAUAGUGACAUUGCCUUCUCUCUCACCCUACUCUAAUAAGGCUUUAAUAUCUGGAGCUCAUAGGUGGGAGAUAAAGUAUACAUACUUACAAGACAUUUAUUGCAUAGUCAAACCAUGGAUCCAAAGAAACAAAUCAAUAAGCUAAAUCAAGAUGUGCAUGUGUGGCGAAUGAAUGGUGUAUGGUGAUGAUGGUGAUAACAAUGGUGAAAGUCUAAUUCUACUUUUGCUCUUUGAGGGGAUACAUACCUUUCUUGCUUUUUGAAACUUUAUGAGGAGAAUGAGAUGCUCUUCUUUUUCUUUUCUCUCAGGUGGGUAUCUUGUACCCCUAAUUCUACUGUCGGACACUUGUCCUUUUUUACCUCUCGUCUCACUUUUUUUUCUUUUCUUUCGAGGUUCCGGGCACUUGCCCCUUUUUAUUUCCUCAUUUUUUUUAGAGCACUCAUCUCAUGAGAUAAGAUAGCAAGUGGUAGUAACAAGAUAACUUGAGCAUUUAUUUCACAAGGGAAAAACAAAAAUAUUUUUGGCUAUUCUCUCCCGGAUUAAGAGUAGAAUAUUUUUGGGUGAUUCUGGAGAUGGAAAUGGAUGGAUAUAUGUGGAUGGUACUUCCGGAGUAGAAGUAGCAUAUAUGAGUGAACGUGCAAGUGAAUCUUGAUUUAACCACAUGACAAGCUCCUAAGGGUCUACACAGCUUGACCACACUCAAUGCUCAUAAGCAGUAAAUAGUAAAUGUGUGGCUCAAAGUCUAGCAAGCAUGCAUAUAUGGCUGUGGUAGGAAUUUAAACUCUCAUCAUACAGGAACUCAUCAUACAACAUUUUAAAGAUUUUCAAAGAUAAAAUUCUCCAGAAUUCUAGCAUCUCUAGGAAUAGAUAAACAGCAGCUCAACCUUCCCAUAUCAAAUUCGUUAACAACUUAGAUUUCAGAUCAAGUUUUCAUCCCACAAGUUUAGGUCUAGAGCAAGCUUUAAAUUAUAACAGUUAUAUCUAAACUUGAGAGAGAACUUAAAAUGUGCAAAUUAGGCAGAGCAACUAUUCAUCAUAUCUAUGCUUAAGUUUUAUUUAGAUACAGAUUAGCAUAGCCACUUUAUUUAUUUAUUAAACACACUAAGCAAAAGAUAUAUAUAUAAGCACAAAAUCUUUAUUUGGUUUUUCAUAAUUAUGUAUAUCUAUAUUCUAAAAUAGUAUAAGUAUAAAGAUAGAUAGAAAUACUUAUCGAGAUAAAUGGGGGUGCUCUCUCCCAAGCUGAAUUUUGACGUAAUUUGUCUUGAUGUAGCUAGCAGGCGGCAGAGGUGUAUUUGAAAACCAGCAGUAUUAUGACAGCGAUUAGAAUGUCCUCCGUCUGCCAGUCUUCCUGAUUCUUAAACUCUGUGGAGCUCAAAUAGACAACAAAUCUUGUGGAACUGAUUAAGUGUUAGCAUAAAUAUCUAGCCUUUAUCAUGUUGAGACUCCUUAAUAAUUAUUACUCCCUGUUUUUAUAUUUUUAUUUUCUUUUUAGGAUAGUAUGAACAUGAUUAACUAAGUAAACUAGUUGAAAUAAUUGAAAGGGAAAGGAUAACUACCAAGUUUACCUCUUGGCAAGGCAUUCGGUGUUUUUAAGUCCUCCGAACACGACUCUCCGUUUUCUCAAUUGUCCUGAGGUUCGUUGGGUGGCGGAGUCGGUACUUCCGGCAGCGCCUCUUCUUCAUGUAUAGUUAUCUUCAUUUUCCACACCUGACUUGGUGCUACGGUCUCCUCUGGAUAAUUCUAUUUAAACUCUACGUCUUCUGACCUUACAACUUCUCCUUCAUAGUCUGCCCAUCCGUCCUUGAUGAUCUGCCUCCUCUGGUUGCGGUUGCGUCGGUUUCUUACCUGCUUAGAUUCUUCAACGAUAUAGUUAGGGUCAAUAAAAUAACGACAUACCUUCUCUGAGGGGAAGUGCAUAUGGACUUCUCCGGUUCCAAUGUAGAUAAUUGCUUUAACGGUGCUGAGGAACGGUCUUCCAAGGAUGAUGGGUGGAUCGUAUUCGUGUUCUCCCAUGUCAAUAACUUGAAAGUCUGUGUAGACAAAAUGAUCGUCUAUUUUGACUGGGACAUCAGUUACUAUUCCUUUAACUUCUCGAAAUGUCUGAUGCCAUUUGGAGCUGAAUGUAUGUUGGUCUUAGGGGCAUGGUUCCGAACAGGAGCCGAUAGGUGACUGCGGCCAUUAUGUUGACGCCCGAUCCAGUGUCACAAGUCGUCUUGUAGAAGUUGUAUCCAUUUAUGGAGCAGUAGAUGCUUGGCAUUCCUGGGUCGUCCUUCUUUGUCAAAAACGGUGACUUAAGUUGGUGAUCUUGGCCUCCAUGAACUACAGUGACCAUCUUAGCUGACUCGGUGCACACUUGCUUGUUCCUAUUCUUCCUGUUGGUCCUCUUCCUUGACUCACGUCUGGAUUGAUCUGGAAUUUGUGUAGUCUUGUUCUUGAAGAAAAAUAUCUCCUUCCUUCCUUUGACGUAGAAAUUUAUCUUGGCAGCUCUAGCGUAGAUGAUAGCUCCCGUGGUGUUCAAGAAUGGCCUCCCUAAGAUGAUGGGUGCCCUCUCAUCAUUUUCGGUCUCUACCACUACGAAGUCUGCUAGGGCAUAUAAGGUACCAACUCGGACACAAAGGUUCUUCAAUAUUCCUUUUGGAAAAGUUAUCGUCUGAUCUGCAAACUGCAAACACAUGGUUGUUUCUAAUAAAGGAUAUGUAAAGAUUUUUUCAUAGAGUACCCUGGGUAUAAUGUUGACACUAGAGCCAAAGUCGCAGAGUGCUUCUGGAACGUCCACCAUGCCGAUGGAGAUCGGGAUGACGGGGCGUCCUGGAUCGCCUCACUUGACCGGCAGAAGGUCAGUAGAGAAUUCAGUGACGGGGUUACUCCAAUUACCUGCAUCAAAUAUGUCUACAAGAUUUGCAGAUUCUAAUCCUUCCGGUUGUGAUGGUAUACCGGGGUUAGUAGCAGGAACAGCAGCAACUAUUUCAUUUAACUGAGAUUCAAUCAUUUUAUUAAAGCUAAUUUGAUUCUUGAUGGCAGUAGAGAAAUUAUCCAUUCUAUUAUUUAUAUUUUCUAGCAUUUUAUCAUUAUAUGCCAAUUUCUUAGAUAGGUUAUCCAUUAGCUUUCCUUGAUCAGACACUUACUCUCUCAGAGGUGGAAAAUUUUUAUUAUUGUUGUAAAAAUUGUUACCUUGAUAAUUACCUGAGUUGUUAGGCCUCUGUUGAUUCCAACCUUGAUUUUGUUGAGGACGGUUGUAGUUGUUGUUGUUGUUGUUGAUGUAGUUCACAUCCUCAAGCAUCUCAGGGCAGUGGUUGCCUGAGUGUCCAGUGUCUCCACACUCCCCACAAGUCAUGUGAGAGUCGUAGAUGUGCAUAACUUCUUUCUUAUCUCCAGCUCUAUCGUCGAGCUUCUUCAUGAGCACGUCUAGCUUUGCAGACAGCAUGUCUACCUCCUUGAGCUGAUGCAUACCUCAACCUCUCUUGCGUGUCUGGGUCCUCUCUUCAUUCUAGCUUUGAUUGGACGCCAUCAUCUCCACAAGAGCUGUGGCUUGUGAUAUGGUGAGUGAUAAGAAUGCUCCUCCAGCUGCAGCAUCCUUGGUCUCUCGGGCACUGUUGCCGAGUCCAUGAUAAAAUGUCUGCUUCAAUAGCCAACUCUCCAUUCCAUGAUGGGGACAUUCUAAGAUGUAGUCUUGAAAGCACUCCCAUGCUUGUGGAACAGAUUCAUCAUUUUGUUGCUGAAAACUUGUAAUCUUCCCACAGAGAGCAUUGGUCUUGCUCAUGGGAAAGAACUUAGCCAGGAAGUUUGUUGAGCAGAGGGCCCACGUAGUAUUCUUCUCAUUUGUAGCGUAGAACCACUGCUUCGCUCUCCCUAACAGUGAGAAUGGGAAGAGGCAAAGUAGUAUAGCAUCUUUGGAAACUCCUGAUAUGGUGAAUGUGUUGCAAAUCUCCAGGAAGUGAUGUAAAUGAGCACUAGCAUCUUCGUGUGCCUUCCCACAGAACUGGUUGGAUUGCACCAUGUUGAUAAGUCCAGGCUUGAGCUCAAAGUUGCCGUCGAUCUCUGCCGCAGGUCCAGUGCGGAUGUUGUCUGUAGUGGGAGCUGAGAACUCGCGGAUUGAUUUGUUCGCCAUGGCUUCGAACUCUGAAGACAAGUUCCGGUGAUCUUCUUGAUUGGAUGAAGCUUCUUGCUGAAGUGUUGAUGAUCUCUUCUUGAGCUUGGCUCUCGUCUUCUUGAAUAAUGCUUCGGGAUUGUCAACAAAAUUUCCUGGAAGAUGUCUUCUAUUCAUACAUUCCCCUGCAUAAGAUAAAAUAGGAAAAUAUCGGGGUAAAACUGUAUGAGAGAAUACAUAAGCUCAAUCAUAUUAGUGAUGCGAAUGAUAAUUCAAAAUCCUUUAUUCCAUUCUUGAUUAGUAAUCAACCUUCCUCGGCAGCGGCACCAAAAAUGCUUGUUGGGUAUUCUUAUCAUCAUUACCAAAAGUAGACUAAGUUCUCUAAAUCUAGUAACGGUGCCAAAAAUGCCAAACCUAUCCCUCACAACACUUAACCCAAGUUGUCAUCCCUAGCAUGACAUGAGAGACGCGGUAUUGAAAUAUGCAAUUGCUCUUCUAAAUAAAUAAUGAAUGGGAUCUGCAAGCGCACAGAUUAAUACCGAUGCAGCAUUUUAACCGGGAAGUAUUCUAGGUAUCGUUAUUUAUAUUUUUACCACUGGGAAGGGAUUAGCAAUCAUCAAUAUUGAUUACAGAAUAGAAUAUGAGAUUGAGCAUCUAUCAUUGCAUGUAUAAUUGAGAACAAUAUAUCUAACUCUUCCAUACAGGGAUAAGUGUCACAUAAAGGAUAUAUGAAAUAAUAAAUAGUGACAAGGAUAAUUAAUCUGAUCUAGCCACAUAAUAAAUAUAAUAAGCACCUCAAUUAGAUACUCUAGAAAGUCAUUAGCAUGGUAUUAGAACGAACUACAAGAAUAUUCCAUAAGUUAUUCUCAGCUAUAUAGUUUAGCAUUAUCAUAGUUAGUGCAAGCAUACUUAGCAAUCAUUGUGAGACAAGACAACGCCCAUGCAUAGUGAUAUUAGCAAGGUAAAUGAGAAACAUAGCAAUCACUCCCCUGUAAUAAUAUUGCUCUUCCAGCCCAAUACACGAGAGGGAGACAAAAUAAGAAUCAAUGAAGCUGUCACUAUCACGAACUACCCCACGAUCUGGCAUAUUGGGUACAAUCGCAGAUAACUACGGUAUAAGCACCACGCCUACACAAUAUCUAUCAUUUACUCAUGGAUCCAAUGGAUAAACGCUAUACGAUCCUAAGCAUGUAUAUAGAUCCAAUCUAACUAAGCCAAGUACAUAACUAUGAUAAACUAAGAACAAUAUAAUCUUGAAUAUAAGCAAGUAGAGCAAAGUCAUAAGCAAUAUAUUGAAGUAGAACAAAGUCAUAUUCAUAAUACUGAAGAACAAAGAUAAUUAUUAAGCAAUUAGAAGCAUAAUUAGAGAAUUACCAAGAAUCCUCUUGACAGAUCCGGAAACCAAUCGAAGAUUGACUCCUUCUAGUUCUAAUCCUAUGUAGCUAUGCUAAUCUAGAUAUCUAAUUGAUGUGGUGGCUCUAAUCUUGAUCAGAGGCUUCUUCUCCCUUGAGGAACAAUGAAUUAGGGUUGAGAGGCUCUCCCUUCCAGGGGCCAGGGAGUCUGGUUUUAUAGUCCCUUCAAGUGAAUAUGGGCCGUUGGAUCAAACCGACAUAGAUUGUAUGGUUUAGAUUCAUCCUUUAGGUCGGUGGAGAUCUCCCACGAAGCAGAGUCCUGAUUGGACUCAGAGGGGGCGGGCGCCCAGGGGAACAGGGCGGGCGCCCUGCCUCUGGCUCCGUUUCGUCUCCGAUUCGGUCUCGUGGCUUCUGGAGUCUUCUAGAUGUAAGAUAAUUGCGCGGCACGUUAAUAUCUCUAUGUAAUCCCGACGUGUGGGCCUUUCUUCCGUAUUUCCUGAUAACCCCCUAUAGAAAUAGACAAACACCAAAACUCAUGGAAUUCUGUCAAAUAAAACCCUAAGUCUAGAUGUUGAUUUCAUUUGGAUCAUUUUCUUUAUUUAUUUGAUAAUUAAAUUUGAUACUUAAGGACCGUCAACACUAGCCACGACAUUGAAAACCGUAUUUGACAGCACACCAGCUUGAUUAAUCAAGGCACGGUUAAUAGCAUUAUCAACCAUGUCUUGAAGUUUACCAGGAUUGGCUUCAAAAGUAACCUGCCGAGGCACCGGCAAUGCUUCUUUCUGGAUCACCUCGCCGCUCCUGUUGAUGCUGAAGGAUUUCAAAUAUUGCUGCUUGUAAUCCUCCAUGGCUUUUGCAAUAGCUUGCCUUUGCUCAUCUCUGAGAUUGGCUUCCAUCACAGGGAUGACGUUCUCCAGAUCGAACUUGGUAUUGGCCAUGUCGAUCUUGAUCCUGAAUCUUGUAUCUGGUCCCACCGAGCGUGCCAAAAGAUGUGUUGGUGCAAAAGCUGAUCUGCAAACACAAAGGGCUAAUACCCGAUUUAAACGUUAAGGCGUGCCGGCCGAUUUGACCUUACUAUCGGCAAAGGUGAUAACUCGAACACUUUGGUCCCGACAACAGCAAUGCGCCCGGAUGUCACGGCCAAGAGGUGCUCACGCGGAACUUGAGAACUCGCCGAGCUUAAGUCGACGAAUUCAUAAGAACUCGUAGUAAAAAGGAAAAAUAUGACGAAGUCAUCGGAAAAGUAGAUGUUGGAAUAUGAGUAAAAAACUUGUGUUUGAUUGAUUGAUAGAUUUUUCAUUACAAGGCCCUAGGGUCUACAUUUAUACCCUGUUCAAAGAGCUACAAUCAGACACGACUAGGACUCAAAUUCCAAAUUAAACGGAAUCCGUAUACAAAACGAAUUUAAAUAACUAAGCAAAACAUAAAACUAUCCUUCUGUAACCGACCGGGACACCGCCACAGAUCAAUCGGCAAUCUCCACGCUUUCCUUCAGAGUCAUCGGCAGACCUCCUGUUAUGGCCAUCGGCAAACACUAAUACUGAUCAUCGGCACGAACACGUCACCACCUCUGGAUUUAGUCACAUUCAAUUGUCACUUCAACGGCAACCACCUUCAUCGGCAACUUCCCUGCAGACUAGUUACAGUUGCUCCAUCUGCCGAUCUAUACUUUACUGAUUCCCGGGUACAUGUCCAAAAACGGUGUCAACAACAGCAAUCCCUUCUUCAGAAAGAAUGUGCCCUAGGAAAGGGACUUUCAUCAACCAGAACUGGCACUUGCUGAAUUUUGCAUACAACUGAUGCUCUCGCAGCCGUGUUAGCACGACUCUGAGAUGCUCAGCGUGAUCUUGCUCAUUCUCUGAAUAAACCAGAAUGUCAUCGAUGAAUACCACAACAAACUUAUCUAAUUCUGGCAUAAAGACCGAGUUCAUCAGAUACAUAAAGUAUGCAGGAGCAUUCGUCAGCCCAAAGGACAUGACAAGGUACUCAUACAACCCAUAUCUGGUGGAGAAGGCAGUCUGCGGGAUAUCUUGUGGACGGAUCUUUAUUUGGUGAUACCCGGACCUCAAAUCUAUCUUGGAAAACACUUUGGCCUUGGACAACUGAUCAAACAAGAUAUCAAUCCUUGGCCUUGUCACCGCAUUGAGUGGACGAUAGUCCACGCACAUACGCAACAAUUGAUCCUUCUUUUUCACAAACAACGCCGGACAACCCCAUUCCGACGAACUUGGCCGGAUGAACCCUUUAUCUAACAACUCCUUUAGUUGAUUCUUCAACUCAACGAGUUCAUUUGGCGGCAUCCGGUACGGCAUUCUAGAUAUCAGUGCGGUACCUGGUAUCAACUCGAUUGCAAACUCUACUUCCCUAUCUGGGGGAAGUCCUGGCCAUUCCUCAGGAAAAACAUCAGGGAACUCACAGACUACUGGGAUCUGUGGCAGAGGAACCAACAUGCGUAGCACAAGAGAUGCUAGCAAAGUCAAAGCGAUGGGGCAGAGGUACUUGAAAAGAUCCACUGCCCUAGGGUUCUCUGAGAGAUAACACCCUCUUCCCAGUAUCUAUGACAACAUCCCACUCUUUCAUCUAGUUCAUGGCCAUGAUAACAUCCAAAACUAACCCAAGCAUGACUACCAGAUUUACUCGAAACACCCGGUUACUUAUAUCUAGGGUUGCCCCUCGGACCACUCUAUUUGUCAACACAUCUACCCCUGCUGAGCUGAUGCGAUAGCAGUAACCCAGAUUUGUAACUGCUUGGUCAUGCUUUUGUGCAAAUGCUUGGCUCAUGAAUGAAUGUGAUGAUCAAGAAUCAAACAAAACAACUGCAAGAUGUUGGUUGAGAGGAAACAUAACAGCUGUUACUGGUUCUCCUUCCGGGAUCUCCUCUAUCGAGGUAUGGUGCACUCGAGCUGGGUAGGUUGUCUGCUGCCUCUUGGGGUAGGGACAUUCCUUAGCAAAGUGCCCCAUCUUGUGGCAGUUGUAGCACGGUCCCUUGGUCAUAUUGUUGGCGGUAGGUGCUGCAGCUUGAAUUGCCCUUGGCUUGGCAGGAGCUAUAGCCACCUUGUACGACUUCUGCUGCUUUGGAUGCUCGGUGUUCCUUCUCUGCGGCGGUCAGAACCUAGCACCAGGGGCAGGUGGACGAUACUGCUGUUGCCCCGCCACUGGUGCCCUAGACUGAGAUGACCCGGCUUCAAAAGCCCUCUUACGAGACUUGGAUGCACUGUAGUUGUUGUUAUUGUUUCCCUGGGUCAGACAGUCACUGAUAUAAGCAUUGAAGGUAGCCUGGUUCCCUGUACCCAUGGUCUUCAGCAUCUUCGGGCUCAGACCUCUCUGAAAAAUAGCGAUCUUCUUGGCCUCUGUGUUCACAUACUCGGGGGCGUAAUGAGCAAGAUUGUUAAAAGCGUGCAGAUACUCCUUCACAGACUUUGUUCUCUACGACAGCCUCAUGAACUCCCCAACCUUCAUUUCCACCACACCCGGAGGAAUGUAAUUUCCUCAGAAGGCGGUGGUGAAGCGGUUCCAAGUGAUUGGGGUCCCCUCUGGGUAGGUGGUACGGUGAUGGGACCACCAAAUCCCAGCAGGUCCUUGUAACUGAUGCUCUGCAUACUCGGCCUUGAGUUCUUCAGUCAUCCGAGGAAGAUGGAACUUUUGCUCCAUGGUGUUGAUCCACUCAUCUGCCUCGAGCGGUUCCAAGGCCUCCUUGAAGGUCGGUGGCUUAGUAUCCAUGAAGUCCUUGAAAGAGCUGUACUGAUUGGCCUCACGGCCGCCCUGGUUAUCCCCACGGCAGGUAUUGUCAGCGAUAUUGCGCAGGCUUCUUCCAUGUUGUGCUGCAUCUUCUCCAUGUUGCGUUGGCUCCCUAGAAACUGCACGAAAAACACGUCUGCAGUGUACGGAGGAGGUGGUGGUGGUGGCGGCGAUGGUGCUCUUUCCUCAUUCCGUUGAGCUCCACCUCCGGAAGUACGUGCUCCAAGACCGGGGUUGCUGUUACCCCCGCCACGUGUUUGCACCAUCUGCAUGCGUCAAUGAUAAGCAGUUGUUAGGAGUUGCCAUCAACGGUAGACAUAUGUAGAAUUAUGCCGUACUGAAUUUACUGAGGAAAAUAAAUUCGCACAAUAAACAGAGGCAUAACAAUUCAUCAUCCACACACAGCAUCACUAACGGAUUACUUAACAUUCGAGCAACAAGGUUCGCAUACGCCCAAAUUGCCAGCAUACAUACAAUGGACUUUCAGCAUCUGCACAUAAGGUUUUACACAACCCAGAUCCAAUAUUACAAGACAUGCCAUGCAACAACAACAUCAAAAGAAGAAGGACUAGCUCUAGAGCCCUAGAAUCUACUCGCUAUGGUCACUGUCCAUGCCGGAGCCCUCCUCGUCCUCAUCUCCACUAGCAGCUGCCCCUAUCUCUGGAUCCUCAUCCAUCUCAUCCUCAGAGUCUAACUCAGCUGCUCCAGGCAGGUGGUGAGGGUGGAGAUGGUUAUGCAACUGGUGAAUCUCCUCAUGCAGGUUCUCAUUGUACUCCUCAGCAUUAGCUAGCUGCUGCUCAAGCUCUAGCUGUCGGGCCCUCAGGGUGUCCUCCUCGUGCUAGGCUUCAUUCCUCUGACCAAGCACAUGAACUAGCAUGCGCUCGCAGUUCCUGUGAGCAGUAGUCACCCUGUCCCUCUGCUCUCUCACUGCAAGCAGGUCCUGACUCAGCUCACUGUGCUUCUGGACCACCUGAUCCCUCUCUCGGGUCACGCGGACCAACUCUGCCUACAACCUCUCAACCUCAGUGUCGAACUCAAGCUGCAGCUGGCGCUUCUCAUCCUGGACUAUGAGAAGAAACCCAGACAAGCAUCCCAAACAACGCUCCAGACCCCCAUAGGUCUUCAUCAAGGCGAACAUAGCACUCAUAGCUGCACUGCCACUGUGCUGGUCCUCAUCCGCACACCUCUCUAGAGCGUUCACCUCGGACUGAUCACACACCGAAGUGUAGGGGUCACCUCGGGGAAACACCCCAGCGAAGGCGUCUGCCAGCUCCUGUGGAAACCUCUCCAUUAUGUCCCUCAGAACUGCAAAGGCUGCUCUGCUGGCACCGUGGAAAGGCGAGGUACCUCGGGACUCGUACACCCAGCCGCCCCAGGCGGGGUCACCUCCACUGGUAGGGACCACUGCCUCGAUCCCCACCACGGUCCCGUCACCAAGCUGCUCCUUGUUCCAAUAGUAGCGAGGUUCCCUUCCUUCGGGAUAUCCCAUCGAGCUAAGCACCCUCCAAAGCAAGGUGGGCAUCCCAAACUCCUCUAGGAAAUUGCUCUUGUGACGCGAGCUCCUAGCGGCCAACUGAUGGCGAGGGGCCCGCCCACCAGUGGACUUGCGAGCGGUGAGCCUAGUGCGUGCCAUCUGCUGCAGAUAGAAUACCUUGGGUAAGAUUGAGGAGUACCUUUUAUUAACUUAAUUAAAAUUGGGACAGAUUUAAUUAAGGGGAGGAAGUAAGCAAUGAUAUGGAAUGAACAUGAUGCAUGCACGAACUUACGAUCUCACAAACUUGGAAACAAAAGUUAACACUAAUCGGUAUAUGCUGUGGCACACAAUGUUCUCUCAUAACGUAACUAGCGUUCUAAGUGGGAACAUGGUUAGUGUACCUGCAGAAAACUCAUUUUAGCCCAACCACAGUAUGAACAUGCAUAACAAGAAUUUAAAUCUACACACCCCACAUGCAUAGACACCACUUCCAUGCAUAUGGUGUCUUACUACCCACAUCAUCGCCCUAGUGACGGCAUCGCCUGCCAGGACGGAAUCUCCCAACAUGCGGUACUGUUCUCAGGCACACCAAACAUGUGUGCAUGACACAGCACCUAACAACACUUCCCUAUAUCGGCAGUGUAUCCGAUCAUGCUCUCACAGCUCCCACUUACCGAGGCGUAGAGGAAAAAUUGAUCCAUACAUUACCACUCAAAUGAAUGGUACUCAUACUAUUGCACGCCGUAUGAGCGACGAAAAUAGAAAUAUGAUGCAUUAACCCCCAAGUCAGUACUUAAGUAGCCACCUUAGAGUCCUUAACUGGACAUAAAGGAUAUGACCAUGGCACACUAGAUAGUUUUCCAGAAACAUAGUUUAACACCUUGAUUAUCAUUAAUUAAAAAUAAUCUUUUAUUAAACCGGCUUAAGGUGAGUUAUAACGUACUUAUGAACAGUAACUCGCUAAACCUUGCUCCGAUGCCAGCUGUAGUAGAACCGCCCAAAUUAUAAGAGAUUAAGCCUGAUAGUGACCAUUUGCACAGUCAAACUACCGAGCUUAAGCCCAUAUAAUCCUGGUAGUCCGUGAAAUCUCGAAGGAUUUCAAACCACAAUUCGUACAUACAGCCAAGAUUGUAAUAAGUUCAGCGGUCACCAUUCACGAUUACAUCCAGUUUACCACAUUCAUAAAAAUACAUCGGAGUACUUAAAAUUAUUACAAACCAAGUUCUCAAGUAGCGGAAGCUUCAUAGUUCGAAAAUAACACACACACAUUUAGUCUGGUACAGUGCCAUAGUUCGGUCAUUCCCACAAAAGCAAAAGAGAAGGUGGAGUGACCAUCGCCCUUGGUCUAGUCAUCGCCCAUUGCUGGGUACAAGCAGAGGAUGCAAUAACCAUAGUAUAUUUGACCAUCUGCAAAACAACAUGGGAAUAAAACCCUGAGUACGAGAAUGUACUCAGCUAGACUUACCCAUCAUAACCAAAAAUAAAGACUCUUCAAGGAUCAUGAAGGCUGUAUGGUGGGGUAGUUGAGACUUUUUGCAUAAAAGCAUUAUUCCACUAAGCAUAGCCUAGAGACCAUUCUUCUUUUAAUUAGCUCAAGUUUGAUAAUAUCAUUACCUAUUAUCUAGGUUUGCACCUGUACUAUUACAAACAAGUGUAGAAAUAUGAUGGUACCUCAUCAUAGCAUUCAUAAACCAUUUAUCAUCAUAACCCAAGUGUUCCAUAGUCCUUACUACGAGGACGAAGCUCAUGUCAAGUGCUCACUAUCCAGGAGCGAUGGCGAUUCGAAUCAAUUUCUAACCAGCUGGCGAGUUAUUCCCCACACAAACCAUACUCACUGAUCAAGUGAGCUACAGAUCACCGUGUUACACUAUCCAGGACCAAUUGUCGGGUUCGGCAGGCACCGCCAGUACCCGAGGACCGUUCCGGCGACCGAGGUAUCCAAGGUAUACCAAGGUUGCACGCCGCGCCCUCGUCGCUCUCCUCAACCAUCACCAAUACAGCGCAUGGCGGCUCGACUCCUGGCCCGGAUAGUGUUCAGGCUUCGCGGUCGGAACGACUUAUCCUUCCAGCUAAGUGUGGGGCAUGCGUUCAACAUGACAAGAGGGCCGUCAACGAUCGGUCCUUAAUCGACACAGGCAGGGGCACUAUGGUCAACCCACCAUAAGAGCCUGCCCGGUCUCAAAUUCCUUUCCUCACUUGGUUAUUCUUCCCCAUAGCAAUUACAGCUAAUCAAACAGGUGUCCACCUAUAUCUCGCAGGUGACAGGAAAUCACCCGACUUCUACCGGACUAAGCAAGCUAUGCAUAGACUCCGUGCCUAUCUACAUAGGACAAGGUAGAUAAACAAGUGGUGAUAUCAAGGAGUACGUAUGCAUCAACGGUAUCAAGCAAUUCUUAUCACUUAAAUGCAACAUAGUAGAACAGGCGUAACAUAUCAUAUAAGUUAGCGAGAAUAGGGAGACUUAGAAUGCUCCGGGGCUUGCCUUUCUCAAAUGUGCUCGGCUUGUGAUCCGGGCACUCCUGCAGCUCUUCUCCGGGCUCCGGUCCUCCCAGAGGUUCCUGCUCCUGGGUCUCCCCCGGCUCCUCGGGUCCCACCUCAUUCUUCUGCGAGCCUGUAUGAUGUAUGUGUGCUCAUGAGUGGAGUGCGAGAUGCCCGGGAUGCAAUGCUUAUGCAAGUGGGUAAGAGAUGACUAUGACAUGGUGCAUAGAUGAUAUAGGUGGUUAUUUCUACAAGGUAGUCAACAUCAUCCAAGAACAUGUAAUCGAACUACACAUCUAUUACAUUCUCUUCUACAAGUUGUCUUCAUGGUUAACCAGCAAGCUCACAUGAUGCUUCAAAGAUACACCAAACACCCUCUUACUUUAUUUAAUCUAUGUAUAACAAUUCAUAAUUUAUUUAUCCACUUUGAGGCCUACAAAAGUAGCAUAUGUUUCUGUCUUUCAAUAAAUUCCACAAAAAUUAUAGCAGAUCACCAGUCAACCAUAAAGUCUACCAUGAAUUUCUCAUAAUAUUUGGACCGUUAUUUUGAGCUACAAAAAUCACAAGAUUAAUCCAUAUAAGCAAGUAUAAAUACCCUACUGUUGACCAAGUGUCAAACAACAGAUUUCAUAUUUUUAUAAAUUACUUGUUAACAUAAGAAACAUCCACAAAAAUUUCCAGAUUAAUUGCAUGAUCCAAUUAUUUAUUAAAAAUCAUAAACCACGGCCAUGCAAGCAUUUAAAUCACCAUAAAUUAACUCAUACAACAAAUAAUGUGUAACAUAUUUUUCCCAGAGCCUACUCAUCCAUGCAGAGCUAACAAAACAAGUUUCAUAUUUUUCUGAGCUAUAUUUUAAUUACUGUGCAUUUUCCAAUUUUUAGCAAAAACAUGGAUUAAAUAUAUUUGUACAGAAAAGUUGUUCAAAUAUGACACGCAACCACAUGAAAGUAUAGAUCUAGAAUUAUAGAGUUCAUCAAAGUUUAUUUCAUCAAUUUUGGAGCUGUAGAACUCAAGUUAUGAAAUAUACAAGAUUUAAUCAAAUUCUGAAAACCUUUAUUUAAGAAAAACCGACAGAAAACGCUAGAUCCACCCAGAUCCACACCCGCAGAGGCACUGACAGGCGGGACCCAGGGGUCGUGGCCCCACGGGUCAGCCACGCCGCACUCCGGCCGACUUCGGCCGGCCGGCUCUCGCCAACGGCGAGGUCUCCGGCCACGGGGUGAGCACCAACGUCCUCCCCGCAGCGAGGCGCACCCAAGGGUGCCCUUGGAUCGGCCGGAAGAUGACCGGAGCACCCCCGCGAGCAUGCAUGGCGGCACGGCGGCGCUGCUCGCCGUGGCCAGGCCGCUCCGGUGCGGUAGAACGCGCGCGGGUACUCGUCCGAGCUUCCUCACCGAGCUACGAACCUAACGCGCUCGAAAGCAAGCGAAACGAGGCAAGAAUGAGUAAGUUGCCAUGCGGCGGAGCACUCUGACGAGGUCGGGGAAACUCCAGCGAGCGAUUCAGGGUGUGCGGCGGUCUCUCACCUCGGUAGAGCAUGCGCAGAGGCUUACCGCGGUGAAGACGAGUGCAGCGGUGGUUUUGGCGCCGAGGAUGGGUCACUGGUGUGGCCGGCGCUGAGCGGCGGAGCUCUCCGGCGAUGGCACUGCGGCGGAGUUGCUGCGGCUGCUGCACUCGCAAGCGGAGGAAGGAGACGGGAGCGGGGAGGGGACAGAAUGGAGUGGCCUAGGGGCGCGGGGCGGCGUCCCGACCAGGUUAAGGCCGGUCGGCCGCGGUGCGUCCACGACGCCGACAUACGGCCGCCACGUGGCCGGCGUCGGGUGGACGAAGGCGGGUGUCCGCGCGUGGGAGAGAGAGGGAGGGAAAACCGGGCCGCGCUGUCUGGCUGGGCCGAAAGGGAGGCGUGUCGGCCCAGCAGCGCCUGCCCCCUUUCCUUUUUUUGUUUUGAAAUUAUUUUUCCAAAAAGCUUAAAUGAGACUUUUGAAGCUUUUACAAAUCUUUUUAGGGGUUGGAGUAAAAACAAGAAUUGUUCCCCACAAAAUUCCAUACAACUUUGUUUUAAUAAGCAAAGCCAAAUUUCAAAUAGAAUUUGAAUCACAAAUUAAAACUUGUCCUAGGUUUUUAAUAAAUUCAUUUUUAGGGAUUUUUGUAUAAAUUCCAUUUCUCAAUUUCAACCUAAUUUGGGCAUUUCAAGAAUUUUAGAAACAAGCAUAAUAUUUUUACCAUAUUUAAUUCACAUAAAGUAAAGCACAUAAAAUCACACUUGAAUGAACGACAUGCUCAUGUGAUGCUAUGCUUAAUGAGAAUGCUUGUGGAUGGUUUAUGAGACUAAGUGCAUGCUUAACACCUAGGGUGUUACACUUCCCACCACCUUUUGUAUGACUGGGUGAUGAAAAGGGCCGGAACCCAAGCCGAUAGAUCAAUAUUUGUCAUAUCGGCAUCUGGCUGGAGCUGAGCUAUUCUGAUCCACUCAAGUCCACUGGUCAUUACCUCCCUCGGCUUAACCACAUCGGCAUAACAAAGUUUAAUGGGUAGCUGACCAAAAGCCAGCUGGCGAGCUAGUGCCAAUGGGUUGUAAAACUCAUAGGUUGUGCUGGUGUUCUUUCCGCUGCCAAAGUUGUUUUCUAGGUUUGCUCUUGGGGUAAUGAUUGCCAUCUUUAUAUCAUUAUCCUUGUUAAGUGCAUCAUCGGCAAAGUGGAAAGUGAGUGGAAAUCUGGACUCUGCAUCUUCAUAAGGCAUCCAGGCUCGCUGAUAUUUGGAAAGGCCGUCGUAUAGUGUUUGAAAGAAUCGGCCAAUCUGUUUCUCAUUUGCAUCGAUACCAGGGAGAACUAUGAUGGCUUCGCCGUAGUUAGGGCGAGCAUGUUGUCGAUUCAUCCUCUGCUAAUUUAUAAUCCUUAGCAAUAUCUCAUGGGAACUGUUGUGCAAAGAAAUCCCACCAAAGUCGCCUUAUGCAUAUGGGCGUUGAGCCACAUGUUAAUAAACCACCAAGGACCUCCCAGGUUGCCGAUCGGUUCACCUAGCAGGAGUUUCUCGGCUACUUGGUGGAGGAGGUGAUAGAUAGAACCCAACAGAUAUCAGCCAAGGGGAAAUCGGUUAACAUUGGCUAGUCGCUCUGCUACCGAUAAGUAGAUAGAGGUUGGCCCUACCGAUCGGCCAUAGAAGAUGAACUUGUCUAACCACAUAUUUAGAAUGAUGAACUUGUCAAACUUGCAAAAAGUAAAGGAUUGCAGUAAAAGAAAGAGAGGAUGGGAAUGCAUUAACCUUAGGAACAACGAAGUUGAUGGCCAUAUCCUUCUGAAGAGAAGAAAGAAUUGAAGGUUUGAAGAUUCUAGGAGGGCUUUGCCGUAGGAGAGCUUUUUCACUGCCGAAGUUCUUAAGCUCUUCAUUAAUGCCUCCGCCGGGGAGAUGAACUUGAGAAUGGGGAAUGACGAGGUAGAGGAUGAGUACUGGGGAAGGAAGUAUUUAUAGGUUGAAAUGAGCAAGGGUAUUUUUGACUUAUCUCUUUGUCGUAUCCAUGAAAUUUGAGGUUGUUCAGAUGGAUAUGGUAACUGUCCGCACGAUAAUCAAGGGAUUGUAUAGGUGAUUUGAUGGUAAGUAAUCAUAAUUUUAGGAGAUAUUCCACUGUAUGCAAUCUUUUGGUCGGUCCAUCGGUAAUCAAUCCUAAAAGAAAAGUUGCCGAUGAGCGUGUUUCUAUGAGAUUUGGUUCGGAUGGUUGAGAGAUCCAAGGUAUUUACUGGGAUGUAGAGGUCAGAAUUAAGGUUGUUUGGAUUUGGUAAUUAAUUGUUACCAGAAGGAAAUAAUUAUCAAAAGGUCGUCAUUAUCAGGAGAGAUUUGGAGCAUUAAUAAUUUCAUACUCCAAAAUUAGGGGGCAUCUGUUGACACCGUUUUUGGGCACAAGUCAGGAUGGUCAGUGAAACUUGAUCGGCAGUCAAGGAGGUGCUGUGUCUAGCCGGUAAGAAGAUUGUCGAUAACUGAUGAUGCCGAAGACCGGAUGAUGGGUGGAAGAUGUUGCUAAGCUUGACGGUAGCCACUGAUCAUUGCUGAUUGGUUGCCGAUGUUGAUGAUUGCCGAUGCCGAUGAGGAAAGGUUUGAGAGUAGGUAAGGAUACAGGGAGUAUGUCGAUGGUGAUGAAAGGAUACAGGGAGUAUGCCAAUGAUGAUGAAGGGAGACGUGGGAGUUGCUGGGAAGGCAACGGUGAUAUGCCGAUCACCAGGAUAGAUAGGUGUUUAUUUUCUAUAUUUGUUAGAGUUUGCCUUAUGUAAGAGUCCUGUUUGGUUUAGAAUUAAAUCCUAGUCGUAUAUGGUUGUAACUCUUUAGGACAGAGUAUAAAUAUAGGCCUAGUAGCGAUGUAAUAGGGGAAUCAAUCAAUCAAUAUCAUACACAAGUUUUACAUCUACUUUUACAUCUACUUUUUGAUGAUUUUGUCAACUCACAUAAUUUUUUUUAUCUAUGAGUUCUUAAGGAUUCAUCGAGCAAUACUCAGUGAAUUCUCGAGUUCCGUGUGAAUACCUAUUGGCCGUGGCAUCCGGUUGCAUCGCUGUUGUCGGGACCAAAGUAUUCAAGUUAUCACCUUUGUCGAUUGCUAGGUCAAAUCGGCUGGCACGCCUCAAUGCUUGAAUGGGGUAUUAGCCCUUUGUGUUUGCAGAUCUAUUUUUGCAUCAAUAGAGUUUCGUCCUCCUAUUGCAGUCAACUUCCAGCAAACAAGUAGUUAAGUUUAGCGACGUUAGUGUAUGUCCGCUAAUAUAUUAGAUUGGUUCAUAGGAGUAAAGUUAGAGUCAUAGGAGUCUUUUCUCACUCAUUGUCCUCCCACCUAGCUACACUACACUAGUUAUCUUAGAGUUAUCCAGAACCACAUCAACCUUCCUCUACGUCUUUGUUACCUCACUACCUUGGUUGAUCCUAGCUGAGAUAGGAUUUCCCUUCCUUGCUAUCUCUUCUACCACGCUUUCCCUUAGAUGAACUAUAAAUUACGACACCGCGGAUACUCACCACGGUUGAAGUGCUACAUCGGUAUCUAUGCGCUUGCAGAGUUACCCCUGGUACAUGUUACGUCAUCUCUAGAGUUUAGCGUUGCUUAGCAGUUCUGGAGCCGUUGCUCAAGGCAGCCUGACAACCUAUCCUAAUAACAGCUCAAGCUUGCAUUUAAGCAGUGCUGGUUAGGCGCCACCAUUUCUAGAUACUUGUCACAUCUUACUAUAGCCAGUGUGCGUUAUGAUUUGCCAACAAGCAUUUCUGGCGCCAUUGCUAGGGAAAGCAUAGCCUAGAAAUUUGUAGCAGGAACGAAUCAGGUAAAACAUCAUCAACUUAGAUCAAGUAGUUUUAGGUAGUUACCCCUGCCUGUGUUUCUCUUCAUUGUGAAACCAGGUAGUGUAUGAGUGAUUUCCAGUUCAAGGCAACCACAUUAGCCGAUUUAGAGAGAUCUCGAAGGAAUUCUAGACUUCGUCUAGUCCACCAUCAGAGAUCCAGCUCACACUUGAACUCACUCAAGGAAGGAAGCUUAGCACCAAGAAUUAGGAUGUCGAUGGUCAACCAACCCAUCGCCGACUUCUCAUCUCCCUCUGUGACCCAUAUCUCAUUGGGACCACAAGUGGAGAUUAGAGAUAUCGACUUUUAGAUCCAGCCAUCGCUAAUCUGUAUGGUGCAAGCUAGUGCAUUUAGUGGGAAACCACACGAGGAUGCAAACACACACCUUCAAAACUUUCUAGAAGUGUGUAGCACCAUCGCUAUCAAAGGAGUCACAGUGAGAGUCAUUCGCCGUCGCUUAUUCCCAUUCUCUCUGCUUGGGAAAGCAAAGCAAUGGUUCUACGCUCUCCCUGAUGAUGUUGACACAUGGAGCGAGUGUGCUACAACAUUCCUCAACAGGUUCUUCGCAAUGAGCAAAACAUCAGCUCUGCGGGCAAGAAUUUCCAGCUUCCGUCAAAAGGCAGAAGAGACCACUCCUGAAGCAUGGGAACAUUUCCAUGAGUACAUUUGGGAAUGUCCUCAUCAUGGAAUCAAGGAAUGGCUCCUGAUCCAAGGUUUCUACCAUGGGCUAACACCAGAAGCCAAUAGUCACCUUGAUGCUGCUGCAAGAGGGUCAUUCACAUCCCUCAAUGUCGCACAAGCAAAGAAGCUCAAGAGUGGAAUGAUGAACGUCCUAAACCCAAGAAAAGAGGCACCCACACCAUUGAGGAGGUGAACGCCAUCUCUCAAAAGAUGGAACUCUUGAUGAAGAAAAUAGAAGAAACAUCCAACUUCAAGAAAGAUCAAGAGGCCUGUUGGCAGUCAUUAUAGACCAAUUAUAAACUGCCAACUUGAUCCAAAAGGAGAAGAAGCAGUCAUAUUAUAUACACACAUGCAUUUUAUUACUAACAAGUUCCACUUGUACCAUACUGAUUAUAUUUUGCAGGAAUUAUAGUGCAACAAGUGAAAAUGUGCCAUACCACGAAGAAAGCUCAAAGUACCAAAAGACGUAUUCAAAAAUGCACAAACCAAGAAAAUAGAGAAAGGCCCGAACAACAUAGAACUGGGCCUGAUCGUAACCACGGGAGAGAUCUAGGCCUAGAGCCAAACCGAUCACACGAAGGCGGUGGCCAGGGGGACCCACCUAGGGUGCGGCCGCACCCUGGUGCGGGUGCACCCCUAGAGGCGGCAAACCGGGCCCAUCUUUCUGAGGCGGUUGCAUGCCGUAAUAAAUAGGACGGUUUCACCUACUACCAAAUUUAGAUGCGAUGAACCGUUCUAGUUCCACUAUAAAAAGAGAGGCACUCCCCCCUUUUCAACACACACAUCAUUUGUAGUCAAUUUACCUCACACCUCUCACUUGUAUCUAGAUUAGUAGUAGAGCAAGGCAAGAGCUAGCAAGGAGAGCUAGUCUCCUUGGAAGAAAGUAUCUUCUUGGUAUGAAUAAUAUUCAAUCUUCUUCAAUGGGCAAGUUCUAUUCAUCUUUAUAUGAUUAUGCAUGUGAACUAGAGUAUGGUUGUGUUCUUAUCAUGUUCAUAGUAUAUGAACUAGUUCUUUGUUCUUGUGCUAUGUUCUUGAUAUGUUCAUCACUGUUCAUCAGAUUAGUAUGAUUAGGAUUAGAAUUAGGAAUGGGAUGAUGGUUCAUUGUGCUGUGAUGGUUGCUCUUUGCCUAGCCUGUCACUCUGAAGGGGUGGGGCCCGCGGGGGUUAGGAGUUGUUUCCAAUUACGUGAACAUGGUGUUCAGGUAUGCGGGAAUCAGUAGAUGUACGGGUAUCUUUCUGGUAGAGGAGUAGGACGCUGGGUAGUGACAGCUCUAUCAUCCUUUGCAUUCCCCCACGAUCAGGUAUUCCGAUAGGAGUUCUGUAAAGUCUCUAUCAGCUGGGUAUCCAGCUGCAGGGAUCUCCCCUCAUCUCAGGCUUUGUUCUAACUCUAUUUAUUGCUAAUUAGAUGAUCCGCUAAUAGUUCUAUGCAUAGUUAUAUGUGACCCAUGCCUGCUCAAGUAGAUUUAUUUCAUUAUUCAUUAUUUAUUAUUUAUCUUCUAUUUUAUCCUUGAGGUUGAUCCAAUGUGUGUCCACUAUCUUGAAUAUCAUGUUUAUUCCUGUUUACUCUAUGUCUACCAAGCAUUCAAUAAGUAAUCAUGUUACACCAUGUUUGAUCCCUUUGCCUUCACACCCUUGAAUACUCAUAGGUUAAAAUGCUACAAUGAUAGUUCUGUCCGCUUGCAGUUAUAUUACUUCUUCAUUCAUGAACUAUCGAUUGGCGUACCUAAGUACCAUUACUUAAGAUUGUAAUCCUUGUCCACUUUCAAGCGUAGUGCCACAGCUUUGCAUAUCGCAAGUAAGGAUGGUUAGGAAGGCCAAUCCGACAUUCCUAAUUAUUGUUACCAGACUUCACUGCUAAGGUCGGCGCCCUCGAGUUGCCUUGGGUUAUAUCUCUGAUGUAGCGAUAGUUACGGUAUGCUAACACCCAACAUUUCUAGUGCCAUUGCUAAGGAUGGAUCUAUGGUCUAUUUUUAGUAGUGACGCUAAGAAAUGCCAACAAGGCCAUCCAACAAUACACCUCAGCAUGUGCUGUUGAAGCAAUUCAAAGGUGCGAGGUGCAAGAAGAAACUCCAGAGGUCGUCUCCGCAUUUGACAAUGGGCAACCAUGACACAGCGGACUGACCCCACGCUUCCAAGGCCAAGGUAAUUUGCAAAAAUCUAGCUGGCCUACGCUUAGAGAUCUUGUUGUUAAUCAAGCUAAAAUUAAUGAAGGCAUAAAUAAAAGGCUGUUAGCUGACGACAAGAUUCUUGAAUUAUUAACUUCUAAAAUGGACUCUCUAGCUUCUGUUGUUAAGGAUCAACAGAACAUUAAUAAGGUCUUAGAGUCCCGGAUGACUCAAAUUGCUACUUCUGUUAAUUCUUGCUAUUCCUCAAAUGCGGUGACCACGAGAGGGGGUAAGACCACUUGUGAUCCACCAUAUUCUAACAUGAUAAGGAAACUGGCAAGGAAGGACAAGCAGGAUGAAGAAGACAUGGUAGAAGAAGUAGAGCUUCCAUCAACAGAAGAAAGUACCAAGUUCAAUGGGAAAGUGGCACCACAUGAGUUUUAUGAUAGAAACCUAAUGAUGCCAUUCCCCAGGAUGAGGACUCAAAAGACCAAUGAACAAUCCGACAAAUUUGUUGAGGUAAUUCGACAAUUAUAUGUCAAUAUCCCGUUACUUCAUGCAAUGCAGGUUCCCACCUACGCCAAGUACCUGAGAGACAUCCUCCACAACAAGAAGCCGCCACCUAAAACCGAGGUAAUUAAACUAAUUGAAGAAUGUAGCGAAGUCAUCUUGAAUAAAUUCCUAGAGAAGAAGAAGGACCCCGGGUGUCCCACCAUUGAUUGCUCCAUCAGGAAACAACAUUUUGAGCAUGCUCUGGGCGACUUGGGAGCAAGCGUCAGUGUCAUACCAAAGGUAAUUUUUGACAAAUUAAAUCAUACUACAUUAUCCCCUACAUCAAUAUAUUUGUAGCUUGUGGAUCAGUCGAUUCGCCAUCCAGCGGGAGUAGCUGAGAACAUCCCUGUCAAGGUACGCGAUUUCCUUGUCCUUGUGGAUUUCAUAUUCUUGACAUAGAAGUUGACAAAAAGGUCCCCCUCAUCCUUGGGAGACCAUUCCUCAGCACUGCCAAGGCACAUAUUGAUGUGGAGCUAUAGAGAUUCAAUUCACCAUCAAUGGGGCUCAGGAGAAAUUCAACUUCAAGCCAAAAGUUGAGUAGUGCUCAAUGAUCUUGGCUACAGAGCUGGCUACAAUUAUUGCCCUGACGCACACCAAAAAGAAGGCUAAAUCAAUACCAUGGGCAAAAGCCAAGCAAAUAUGGAAGAGAAAAAUAGUGCCUCCACCCAAGAAGGAAUGUACAGCACCUGAGGGAGGUCCUAAUGAAAGGACCUGAGGCAACUACUCUUCCAUCUAGGUAAGUCAAACUAAGGUGAGUUUUCAAACUUUUAAAUUUAGCAUUUAUUUUCAGCAUUUAAUUCUUAGUUUUUCUUAAUUCAAAACAUUUUUUCUGUUGACCAUAGUUGUGCAUAUUAAAACCUAAAAUCAACCUCUACUUAACAUGCUAAGCAAAUGGACACCAGGUGGGUCCCAAGGCUAGGUUGACCGACCUGCCCUUGGUGGGUCCACCUGCUCAAUUUUUGCUCCAUCAUCACAGAGUCCCAUGCUCAUGUUUGUGCCAAAGUGAAAACUGAAUUUCAUGACAUGAAUUGCUUCACAAGCCUACUAGAGAAUCUAGAUGAAGCUAGCUUGGUAACUUUUGUGACUUUAAGCAAAGAAGUUUUACUACACAAUGCAUGAUUGCUCUGUUUGAGUGCCACCAGAGCCUUGGGGAGGCCAAAUCAUGGUCAGUCGACCAUGAUAUUGGGCCCACCUCCCUCCAGCUCCUGGUAUUUGUGAUCUUAUGGCUCUAGGAUGCGUGUUGCAAGAAUGUAAGAUAGGUGGCUGUCAACUAAAAUUCCUAGGAAUUAGUGGCUCUCACUCACCUUCUUGCUUAGUAUAAUAGAAUUAACAAAUUGGCCAUAAGCAAUCCAAGGGACUAGAGGAAAAUUUUCAUGACAAUCCUUCUCCCUAACCUCACUUAUGCCCCAAUCCACCAUUCAUUUUGGCUAAGCAAUCUUAUUUAGCACUAAGCUAAUCACAAAAGGAUGAGGAGGAUUCUCCCAUGAGAACUCAUGACACAAAAUGCCAGCAAUCCUAGUCUUGUCUUUCCCCCUCUCUUUUGCUUUCUUUCCUUUCAGCACUUCAUCCAAGAAAGGGAGAUGCCAUGCACCACCAUCCAAAGCAUGUUACGCAUGCACCGAACAUGGAAUGACCUCCACUCACUCUCAACUUUGUCACAAAGCAGAAGGGGGAAGAAAGAUGGGUCGGUCGACCCAAUAUGAAGGACACCAUCACAUGCAUUGUGACCCAUCUCCCAUUGCAUUGCUCCUGGUGACUGCACACUUUGAAAAUGUGGAGAGAGGCUGGUCGGCCGACCGUGCUUUGGUGCACCCAGCACAACCACUUGCUUGCAUUGGAUUCUAGAAGAUAGGUGCCACGGCCACACAGCAAAACUACCUAGAAGUGAAGGUCGACUGACCUCCAUAAAUACACACCAGCACUUCUCCAUACUCUCACCUUCAUCCAAACACACUCACCCUCUUGUGCACUCAACCAACCAGCAAGAAACCCAUUCUCUUCUCCAUUUCUUAACCAUCCUUUUCUCCAAAACAAAAAUCCAAAAACAUUUUCUUUUUAUCCUUACUAUCCAAGAGUUCAUCAUCAUGAAGAAAGUCAGGGGUUGGGGGAAGUCGGUGCUCCAUCAAAUUUCCUUUAGCUCUAGUGACUCCUCCAUGCAAGAUGCCCGGAGUCAAGCAUCAAGGUAGCAAGUAUCAUCUCCACCACCUCAAGUAAAUGAAGAAGCUGUCCCCGAGAAAAUUCAAGAUGAGGAGACCGGCAUAUGGCUCACUCCCACUGAGAUGGAGAAGCUUGAGGAACUCCGCGACCAUGAAUUUAUUCACACCAUGCUGAUAUCUCUUGACUUUCUCCAAAGCAUGGGUUUAGAUGAUGAAUUCAUAGAAGUUUUCAAGAAAAUGGGGUGGGAUGAAAUUUGGGAUUUGUCUAAUGUAAAAGGAAGUAAAAUUCUCACCCUAGAAUUUUAAGCACCCUAAGAAUAACAACAGAGAAAAUUUAUUUUAGAGAGCUUAAUAAUGAGUUUGACCUUCCAUGGGAUGUUUUCUCUACAUGUCUUGGUUUUGAUAAUCCCAACAUUAAAAUUGAGCAUGCCACUAAGCACAUGAACAAGAAAGAAUUUUGGUAUGAAAUCACUGGGGAAAAUUAAGAAGGAUGGCAACCACGUACUAGUCACAUAUGCAAUCCUACCUUGCUUUUCUUGCACCAGUGGAUAGGACUCAGUUUGUUCCCUCGAGAUAACAUUAGAAUCGUCAGGGAAAUUGACACUAGGAUCCUAUUUGCCAUGGUUCAUAAAAUUUCAAUUUCAUCAGUGGUAGAAAUGGCUAAACAUUGGAUAUGGGCAUCAUCCCAACCAAGAAGGUGGGCCAUUGAAUUUACUUCUGUGGUUACAAAAUUUAGUGCACGCCUAAAUCUGCUCAAUAACUUUGAUAGAUACAAAAUUUCUCCUAGAGUUGUCUUGCACAAAAAAUUUUACAUUCGGGACCAAUAUCUUAAGGGAGGAGCAAAUAACUCAGUGUUCUUAAAAGUUUAUAAUACCAAUGAAACAAUUUUAUUGUCCUGUUGUUGGCGUUUCUUAGCAUCAUUACUAAAAAUAGACCAUAGAUCCAUCCUUAGCAAUGACACUAGAAAUGUCGGGUGUUGGCAUACCGUAACUAUCGCUACAUCACAGAGAUAACCCAAGGCAACUCAAGGGCGCCGGCCUUAGCAGUGCAGUCUGGUAACAAUAAUUAGGAAUGCCAGAUUGGCCUUCCUAACCAUCCUUACUUGUGAUAUGCAAAAUUGUGGCACUACGCUUGAAAGUGCACAAGGAUUACAAUCUUAAGGAAUGGUACUUAGGUACGACAAUCGAUAGUUCAUGAAUGAAGAAGUAAUAUAACUGCAAGCGGACAGAACUAUCAUUUUAGCAUUUCAACCCGUGAGUAUUCAAAGGUAUCGAAUUUAUAAUUCUUGUAGGAAGGCAAAGGGAUCAAACAUGGUGUAAACAUGAUUACUUAUUGAAUGCCUGGUAGACAUAGAGUAAACAGGAAUAAACAUGAUAUUCAAGAUAGUGGACACAUAUUGGAUCAACCUCUAGGAUAAAACAAAAGAGAAAUAAUAAAUAAAGAAUAAAGAAAUAAAUCUACUUGAGCAGGCAUGGGUAACAUAUAACUAUGCAUAGAACUGUUAGCGGAUCAUCUAAUUAGCAAUAAAUAGAGAUAGAACUAAGCCUGUGAUUAGGGGAGAUCCCCGCACCUAGAUACCCAGCCGAUAGAGACUUUACAGAACUCCUAUCGAAAUACCUAAUCGUGGGGGAAUGCAAAGGAUGAUAGAGCUGUCACUACCCUACCACCUACCCCUGUACACGAAAGAUACCCGCACAUCCACUGAUUCCCGCAUACCUGAACACCAUGUUCACAUAAUUGGAAACAACUCCUAACCUCCGUGGGCCCCACCCCUUCGGAGUGACAGGCUAGGCUAAGAGCAACCAUCACAGCACAGUGAACCAUCAUCCCAUUCCUAAAUCUAAUCCUAAUCAUACUAACCUGAUGAACAAUGAAGAACAAUGAUGAACAUAUCAAGAACAUAACACAUGAACUAAGAACUAGUUCAUAUACUAUGAACAUGAUAAGAACACAACCAUACUCUAGUUCAUAUGCAUAAUCAUAUAAAGAUAAAUAGAACUUGCUCAUGGGAGAAGAUUGAAUAUUAUUCAUGCUAAGAAGAUCUUUUCUUCUAAGGAGACAAGCUCUCCUUGCUAGCUCUUGCCUUGCUCUACUACUAAUCUAGACUAAAGAUACAAGUGAGAGGUGUGAGGUAAAUUGACUCCAAAUGAUGUGUGUCUGGAAAAGGAGGUAGUGCCUCUCUUUUUAUAGUGGAACUAGGACGGUUCGUCGCAUCUAAAUUUGGUAGUAGGUGAAACCAUUUUAUGCAUGGCGGCAUGCAACCACCUGAGAAAGAUGGGCCCAGUUUGACGCCUCCAGGGGUGUGCCCGCACCAGGGUGUGGCCGCACCCUGGGUGGGUCCCCCUGGCCACCGCCUUCGCGUGGUCGAUUUGGCUCUGGGUCUGGAUCUCUCUCGUGGUUACGAUCUGGCCCAGUUCUGCGUUGUUCAGGCCUUUUUCUAUUUUCUUGGUUUGCGCAUUUCUGAAUACAUCUUUUGGUACUUUGUGCUUUCUUCGUGGUAUGGCACAUUUUCACUUGUUGCACUAUAAUUUGUGCAAAAUAUAAUCACUAUAGUACAAGUGGAACUUGUUAGUAAUAAAAUGCAUGUGCGUAUAUAAUAUGAUUGCUUCUUCUCUUUUUGGAUCAAGUUGGCAGUUUAUAAUUGGUCUAUAAUGACUGCCAACAAGUCCCCCAAGCUUAACCUUUGCUCGUCUCGAGCAAAUAAUUAAGUAUGGUUGUUGAUCAGGAGUUGCUACUACGCCGAUAUAAUUCAAGAGUAUCAUACCUAUAACAAAGUAUUCAUUCACAAUUUAAAUAAGUUGACAUGCUAUCCACUCUUUACCUUGACUGCUCAUAGGGCUUAUAGCUUUUCCAAGUUCUUGGGUGGUUGCAAGAAAGAAUGGUUGUAACAGACUCACCAUUCAUUCAUCCCUUGAUAGACCAUCAAUCUGGAGGUUUUAUAAAUUUUUGCAAAAUAAAUAAGUUCCUCGAAUGAUUCUCUCGAUCGCUCAAUGUGUAUAAAAUCCUCACCAAAGGCACGGUCCUUAAGUACCAAAUAUAAUCAUCAAAUAAAUAAAGAGAAGGAUCCAAAUGCAACUAACACCCAGACUUAGGGUUUUAUCUGACAGAAUUCCAUGAGUUUUGGUGUUUAUCUAUUUCUGCAGGGGGUUAUCAGGAAAUACGGAAGAAAGGCCCACACGUCGGGUUUACAUAGAGAUAUUAAUGUGCCGCGCAAUUAUCUUACAUCUAGAAGACUCCAGAAGCCACGGGAAGGAAGCGGAGGCCGAACGGGGCCAGGCACUGGGCGCCCCCCCAGUUGACCUGGGCGCCCGCCCCCCUGCAGAGUUGGAUCAGGACUCUCUUAUGGGACUAAUCUCCACCAACCUAAAGGAUCAAGGAUAAUAGUCCAAUCAAUGUCGGUUUGAUCCAACGGCUCACGUUCACUUGUGGGGACUAUAAAACCAGACCCCCUGGCCCCUGGAGGAGACAAGUUUUUCAUAGAGUUGAGAGGAGCCCUCGAGGGAAUACCUCUCCUCUAAAUAAAAUAUCUUUUUAGGCUUAGCAUCCAAUGUGAGUAGAAAUAGAUCUUCUUGUUUCUACUAGAUUGAGAGAUAUAGAGUGGAGGUGUAGAUCGGAGGAAGCCCGGCCUGUCGGUGUCUACUCCAAGGUUGUACCUGCGGGAUCAAGUCUUCUAACCCGAGGCUUGCUCCUAGGAUUCUUCAGUAAUUCAACUUCUAAUUCUAGUAAGUCCUUGUUUUAUUGUUCUUUGGUUUAUGAGUUUACUUUAAUCCCUUCCGGUUGAAUAUUAGAGUAAUCAUUGCUAGCGUAAACGUGGUGUUUAGGCUAGGGUACUCAUAGAUAUCCCCUGACUAGCUGGACUGUGGUAGUAGCGAGGAACGUGACAUUUCCGAGUUACCUUUGUAUCCCACAUCUUGUUAGCUGGAUGGGUAGGUUUAUAGGUGCGGGUCGAACAUCCUUUGUGGUGUCUAGAUUCCGUAAGCUUCCCCAAUAGAAUAGUAGAUCAUCCUUACCAAGGUUAGAACGAGACUACGGUUGCAGUCUUCUCUAUACAUCACUCACAUCGAGAAACAUUCUUUGUAGCCUAAAGGGUAGUAGCAAUAGAUUUGGUUAGUCAGAUGCACGCUUUCUCCCAGUGGUAAAAAUAUAAAUACGAUACUCUGGAUAACCUCCCAGGUGAAAUGCUCACUGAUAUCCGUGCGCUUGCGGAUCAUUUCCUUAUUGCGUUACCAAAUAUCAACAAGCAUUUCUGGCGCCAUUGCCGGGGAGAAAGACAGUUUGCUGAGAUAACUUUAAGUCUUGCUAUUAUCUUGUAUUAUACUUUUAUUCUUUUAUUCUUUUAUCUUUUUAUUUUUUCCAUAUUUAUGGAUAACUUAAAUUCCACACCUAUUAUUGAAUUCUUUGCACCUUCGGAGACCGGCCAUAGACCAUGGGAGUCAACAAGUCCUGCCCCCUAAUUAUGAUCUAUGUCUGGAGUUGAUUGCAAUAGGUCAAAACCAACCCUUUUCUAUAGCCGAGGUCCUAUCUUUUAAUCAAGAAGAUAAUGAACUUUUAGCUACACCUAGGGAAUCUGUUAAUCUUUCUAUAAAUUCUGGUUUAGACCUAGCCCUACAAGACCAUGUUUUUUCUCGAUAUUUUCACAUUGGUCUUAAUCAUAUAACCUUUGGUAGAUCUUUCUUUCUUUAUCUAUAAGUAAAGAAAGGUAUGUCUUCAUUUGUGGACAUCCUUCUUGCACUAGUCUUCAUAAUAAAUUCCUAGAGAUAGAGAAGGAAUCAUCUCCCAGACAAGGAAAGGAAGUUUCAAUAGCCAAUUUCCAAACAUUCCAAUCACAUGAUUCGGCUAUCAAACCCAUCCUUGAGCUUAAUAAUUUCUACUAUGCUCUUUCUCUUAAACCUCCCGAUGAUCCUAUGAAUCUCUCUAGACAUCCCGUUCAUAAGAGUCACCAAGACCACAAGGAGGAUCGAGAAGAGCAACAUCAAUGGCUAGAGGGCAUUAAAAAUCCAUAUGCUAUCACCAUUGAAUGGAUGGAUAAAACAAACUUAAGAGACAAUCCUAGAGGAAUUUUAAGCAUUCAUGAAGAAUCAUCCUUGGAGUUUGAGAAUGAGAGAAACAACAGUGAGCAUGGAAGUUAUUUCAUAAAUACCUCACCAAGUCCUUGCUCAUAUAAAACAUCUCCCCAAUCAAUUGGUCUCUCCAACCUUACCACAUUUGAGAUCUCCAACCCCCUCUUCAAUUCUAUUUAUGAAAACAUUAAUAGGGUGGUUGUCGAUGCGUAUGUCUAUAAUAAAUAUUGCAGAUCUUGUUGAGUUGAUCUUGAUUUAAUUAGGCACGCUUAGGUUGGUGUUGGAGGGUGUUGGUGUUUUCCCCCGAGGGUCACACCAACGAGUAAAACUAGUGCGUGCUCCCCAUUCCAGAUGGUGAUGCAAGAAAAGACACAAAGAUUUAUCCUGGUUUGGGCAAGAGAAGGCCCUACGUCCAGCGGGGGGGGGGAGUGUUUGUAUUAUCUUGCACCUAAUUGCUUGUACAGGGGUGAAUACAAGCGUGGAAUGAAUGGAGAUGGAGUAAGGUUGCUCUACUACAUGUGACUUGUGUUGUGUCGUGCCCGCGGUGUCCGCUCCCGGACCUCCCCUUUUAUAGUUCCAAGGAGAGGUCUAGGGUACCUAUAUAGGCGACAGAGUAGGGGUCGAUAGAGGUAUGGCGUGCUGACCCACUCGAGGCCUCCGUACCGGCGUGGCCUCGAACCGUCUUGUCUUGGUACUUUGAUGAUGAUUACGCGUGCCUCUGUAUCCCGCUUCUGUGCGUCGUCCUGGACUGGUUUAUCUGUUGCACGCUUGUACGUCGUGGCAGCAGCUAUGUUGGAGUGGUUGAGGUGCUGUCGUUUGUCGCCCGAUCAUUCCCCAGGAAAGAAACGUGCGUACUCGAGGGUCAGGCGCCGUGUAGCGCCUUGCUGGCCAGAGCGCUGACUUUGGGUGUCUCGAGGGGGGUCUUGACAGGAGGUUCCGACCCUCUCUCUAUGCCCUGCCACGUUCUGGCUUGUUUGGUGGGGAAGACUGCAAAAAGAACGACACGACGGGUGCUUGUUCCCUAUCAUGCUUCCCGUGACUGACAGGUUAGGUGAGAGCGCAGCAGACGCAUUAAAUGCCGGGUCCCCGUGCCCAUGUCAGGCGGCGGGCGACGUCCUUGCGCUCGAGGACUUUCGAUUCGUAUGUGCCUGUUUCCGUAUUCGACGGUUGCCGGUGCUCGAGCCAUAAUCGAUUCGCACGACGCUAUUUCCGUGUUAGAGGCUACGGUCGUCGAGGACCGUUCGUACAACUGGGGGGGCGUCGAGUCAGAGGCCUCGACUUUCGUACGGAUGCUCUCACUAUGUACAUCAGUUAGGGUACCCCUUACUGAUAUCCUCGACAGUAGCCCCGAGUCUCCAUUCGAGCGCUUGCGCUCGAGUGGAGGCUCUUUUUUGUGGUCAAGUUUCCGUGGGGGCACGCGAGCGACCCCACGAGGGUAGCCCCCGAGCCCUUGGAGGAGUCUUUGACUCCUUCGAGGGUUAUAUUGCCCAAUCUGCGGAAGCGCUCCCGAUGUCUAUUGUGGAAGGCGAGCCGGAUGCUUCGAUUGGUUCGUUUUGCGCAGGGGUCGCGACGUACUCCCGGUGGAGCGAGCGCCGUCUACCCCAGAUUGAGCUCCUAGCGGCGUCCUCAUAAAGCAGGGUCAACGUGGUUGGGGUUACUGGUCUCGUUCGAUAGAGUCCAGCGACUCGAUGCCUCCCUUCGGGGGAUUCCUCUCGACCGUCUCGACCUUGCCUUGGACAUCCCCAGUGAAUUCUCGAGGCGGGCCUCGAUUUUCGACCACUCGCUGGGCAUCCCUGACUCUGGUACUCGAGAUCAGCUGUCGAACCCAUUCGGUGGGUCAGCCUGCGACCUCUCGAGAUUUUAGCUGUAACGAAUGCGUACCUUAGCUUAGAAGGGAAGAAAGAAGCCGUGGCGGUUCGCCUUUUUGCCCGUUGGGCGCGCCUUUUCAGGCGGGAGUCGUUGCAGCACUGUACUGGUGCGGAAUUCGUAGCGUCCUGUCUGUGAGAGAGAUAAGGGCCGUUAGGCGGCGCAUUUACUAGGGGAGUUACCGUAUACGCUGGAUCUGUCCGUUGGUGGAUCGCCGUCUAUAAAUAUCCUUGGGUCUCCCUGCCGUCGCUCCUUCCGCCUUUCGCCCCUGCUCUUGCCUCUGCCUUCCUACCAUCUCCCGUGCGCGCGCGCCCUCGAGCUGUGUGAGGAGGGCCUGACAGCCACGCUCGUCCUCUCAGCCGUCCAUCAUCGGAGGAUUCUCCCGUUGAUGUCUCGGCCGCUGAGGAUGGACGAGAUGGGUCCCGGCGUCUCGUCCCGGGAUCUCGAGGCAUGUCGGAUGUCCAACGAGGCCCCGGCGGAUGAAGAGGUUGCAGGCGACUUUUAGCCUGAGCAUGUCAAUGGCUUCCCUAUGAUGCCCGACGAGGGGUCAAUUGACCUGGUAAGUCCUUUUCCACCUUACGACUUCGAUUCUCGACUUUCUUCAGUCCUUCUUAAGACUUAUCAUUGCUUGCGCAGGGAUCGAUCGACGCUCCAUCCUCGAGGCCUCCAGUAAAGGAGGAUGAGGUCGAUCGUGACAAGCGGCGUGAGUCCGCGGAAAAGCAGAAGUCCGCAAAGGACUUAGAAAAGAAAAAGGAAAAGAAGAAGAAUCUCGAGCGCCAGGCGUUAGAGACGCGUCGAGCAAAGUCUAGGCAAAGGGGGGAGCCCGAGGAAGAAUCCCCGAUGAGGAUGAUGGCGGCGAUGGUGACAAUGAUAGCAAUGACUCCGAGGGGAUGGCGUCUCGUCUCGACCGGAUCCUCGAGGGCCCGCCUCAGACCAGCGUCGACAUCUCGCGGACGGGAGUCCCAAAGGGGGCGCUAAGCGGAUCUCGUGAGAGUCAACAGAGGGAGUCAUCUCCACGCUGCUCCCGCGCCGAUGUUCCCCCAGCGCCGGUGCAAGGUCGGACCGUCCCCCGCCCCCAACCUCCUCCCGCGUCUAAGACGGGGCCGCUGACUCAUGGCCGUGUCGCGGCCUCGAGUAAGGGGGAAAUGGGUCGCGGUGCCAGUCCUGGCGUUGGCCAGGCGAGAGACGCCGAGCCGAGACUCGCGCCCGCUCGUGAGGGGCCCGGAGCCUCGACGCGGGGUGGCCUGAGGCCUGUUGGUCGAGGCACCGGUAGGCGGGUCGCCCUUCCUGUGGGGUAAGAUUUUUGACAUUAUGAUUCUCACCUUCCGAUGUCUCUGCAUUUUCUCGGGUAACAGCUUCUCUUACGCUUGUCCCUCUCUCCUCAGUUUGAGCUCGAACAGGCCCAGCCCUCGAUGGCCAAGAGGCUUAAGGUGGGAGCGGCGUCCAAAGACUCAGGUUAGCGGUUCAUUCCCGUCGUCAUGGGAGUCAUGUUGCCCUUAUGUCGGUCAUCAUGGUGACUGACUUUUUGCUUUUGAGUGCUUACAGGCUCCUCCGAUCCUCGGCCGUCGGCCGGUGUCGAGAGCGCCCCGCCUCAUCCAUUGGUGGGGGAGUCCACCCCGCCGUCGCCGAAGCGGAUCGAGGCGCCUCGCCCCCAAGGGCAGGAGGGAGCCCCCGAGCCUCCCCGAUCUGGGGUCGAGGGGUAUCCUAUCUUAAUAAGCGACGGGUUCGGCGGCGACAGGCCUUCGAAGGACGCCUACCCCAUGGACGAGGAGAUCGAGGCUUCUCCCGUCGCGAAGCGGACGCCUUGGCCCAUCGGGCUCCACUCCGUCAAGGAGCAGAGGAAGAGAGGAGAGGAAGAACGUGAGCGGGAGACGCAGCAACAGCUGCAGGAGGGGCAGCAGCAGCCGCAGCAGGAGGGAGAAGAAGGAUAGGAGGGGCGGCGGCCAGAAGGAGCCCAGCUCGAGGAGCUGCUAGAGCAGGACCGGCAGCAGGAGCUGCGGGAGCUCCAGGAGCAGCAGCAGGAGAGUUGCCAGCAGUUAGAGGAACUGCUCGAGCCACCACCACGUAGUCCGCCCCAGCCAGUGCUGCCAAUGCCACAAGAGCCUGAGACCGGGGAGGAGGGUCUGCCGGUCUAUAUCCCGCCGACCCCUGCGUGGCUCCGUCCGGGAGCGCCCGCUUCCAUCCCGGCUGAGCCAGGGCGGGCAGACGGCGUGGUGGCGCUCGCCUGUAUGAUGCGCACCCCGGGGACCCUCAGUCCGAGAUCAAGGGCACGAUCUACGACAUCGAGGGGAUCGCUCUCGGGUUUCUCCGAGAACGAUGGUCGUGGGAGGAUCACAGACCCUCUAAGGAGGAUGAAGCCGGGACGUCGGGUGGUGGAAGACAGUGGAUGACGACGGGUGAUUCCCCUCCCUUAUCGACCUGUUUUUACAUCAUGGGGGGUCACUCGAGACGGUCCAAGAACUCAUCCGAGGCGUUAAGGCGCGCACGGAGGAGGAGAUGGAAAACUGGUGCCCUGACCGGAUCCGCAUCCAGGCCUCCAUCGACCCAUCCGAGCCUAACAUUUUUAUGGACGAUCAGAAGGAGGCUGAGAAGUGGGAGCAUCUCGAGGAGCUUCGCCUCUGGAUGAAGCAUGUGGUGGGGCUCCUGUCUGACGUCGUCAACAACGGGCUCGGUCCGGCCUACUUUGUAAGUGUCUUUGGGCAUUAGUUAUCGUAGGACAUUUUGGUUUUGUGUUCUUACUACUCCACUGCUUGCUCGCAGUAUCUGAAAGUGACCUCCUGCAUAAAGUCGAGCUUUAUUCAUGCGACGAGGGGCGGCUAGGAGCAACUCCCUCUCCUCAAGGACCAACUCCUAGAGUCGCAGGAGAAGCUCCUCAAGGCUUACAAGGAGCUUUUGGCGCUCGAGGAGGAGAAGAAGGAGAGAAAGGCCGCUCUGGCCGAAGCUCGGGAGGCCUCGAGGAAGGCGGUGGAAGAAGCCACGCUGCUGAGAGAGCGGACCGUGUCGGUCGAGGAGGCUGUGUCCAAGGACCAGGAAGAGGCCAAAUUUUAUAAGGAUGCAGCUGCUGACCUUGACAAGGAAAAGGUCCUUAUCAAGGCUGACGUCGCCUCUGCCCGAGAGGCGUUCCACGAGAUGAAGGUGGAGUGCGUGAAGGGUGAGAUCGCUCGAAGCGCCGCAGAGGAGGCCAAGAAGAAGGCCCUCGAGGAUCUCGAGGCUGAGUGAACUCGCUCUCGCAGGCUCUCUGACGAGGUCGAUCAUCUAAAGAGGGCGCUGCUGGAGAAAGAGGGAGCUAUGGUGCAGGUGGGCAAGGUGAUCGAGGACCUGUGCGUCACCAACACCGAUUUGGUGCGCUCCUACAAGGAGAUUGAGAGGGCCAACACCGACCUGGUCGGUGAAAAUACGGCUCUGGAGGAGAGGAUUCGCGGUAUGUUUCUAUUAUCGAGUUUCUUUUCUGAGGUGUGCUUUGUGUUAUCUAACUUCUCCAUGUUGGUCCUUGUAGGGCUUAAAGAUGAGCUGCUUGCUGCUCAAGUCGAGGCCCGCUCCACCAAGGCUCAGCUCGAGGGGGAGGUCGCUUUGAACGGUCGGCUGCGGACGGCGAUAAGCGAUCUCUCGGCCUCUUGGGAGCUCGAGCCCGUGGACGAGUCGAGGGAGGUGGCUCGAGGCGACGCACUGGUCGACCAGCUAUGCUAUCUAGGUGCCACGCUGAGGGACCGGGUGCUGGACGCCCUUCAUAUCGGGGUGAAGCGGGCAAUGGCGGUUGUCUGCUCAGGCUUUUCCUAUGAUAUGGAGGUGGUGUCCCACGGCUUCGUCACUGACAAGACCGACGCGGAGAAUGAGGAGAGGCUCCAUGCCUUGAUCGACGAUGCGGGAGUUAUGGGGAAAGGCUGGCGAAGCUGUUCGAGCCAGAAGUGCUUCCUCCCGAGACUAGCUCGGGUGCGGAUGAUGGUGGUGAGGGCCGGGAAGCAGACUGAGGCCUGCGAGCCUACUCUGGGUGCUAAGGCCCCUUGUACAGUACUUAUUAUUCUGUCUUAAGUGAUACUGUGUUUUUAAGUGGUUUAUAAGAUCUCUGAAUAUUUGCUUAUUCCUUUGUUCGCACCCUCUUUUGUUUCCUUUCUGCCUACGUCAGUAUUCCCCGUUUGAUCUUUUGUUAAGGCGACCUCGAUUGCCUCGAGGGUGAGGGAGCGAGUAGAGUUACCAUAGCCCGGGGGAGUAGGAGUUCUCAGGCUCAUCGUCUCUCGGUCCUUAAGGGGCUCGAGGUACCUCUACUACUUGAUCGUGCGAGGUUUACUGGUAGGAAAGAAAAAAAAUCACUUGGUUUUUUAGACGUUUGGGGGGGUCCCCCCUGCUAGCCCCCGAGGGGGUAUCGACUAUGAUGGGUCAUAGUUGGUACUCCCUUCUAACGACGAAAUUUCAACCAACGAAAAAGUAAUUACUCGAGGGAAAGAUCUUAUUCAUUCCUGCAUUCAUUCAUAAGGUCUUGGUACAGAAUGUACAUGGGAACAUAAAGCUUUGAAAUUCUAGGGGUAGAAUAGGCGUAGCUGUUCGAUGUUCCAUGCGUUGGUGAAGACUACCCCUUUUUCGUCCACGAGCUUGUAUGUCCCUGGCUUCAGGACCUCGGCUACCAUGUAUGGGCCCUCCUAGGGCGGAGUCAGCUUGUGGCGUCCUUGGUUGCUUUGCCGCCGCUGUAGGACGAGAUCACCCACGUUUAGAUCCCUUUUGCGCAUGUGCUUAUCGUGGUAGCGUCAGAGCUUCUGCAGGUAUCUGGUAGACUUGAGGAGAGCCAUGUCUCGAGUUUCCUCGAGCUGGUCGACCGUGUUCUCUUGAGUCUCCUUAUUUGACUGCUCGUUGUAGUCUUUUAGUCGAGGGGACCCAUACUCAAGGUCUGUUGGGAGCACAACCUCAGAGCCGUAGACCAUGAAGAACGGGGUGUAUUUCGUGGCCCUGCUUGGCGUCGUCCUUAAGCUCCAGACCGAAGAGAGCUCUUCGACCCAUUUAUUGCCGAAUUUCACUGGUUGUAGAUUCUUGGUUUGAGCCCCUGCAAUAUCAUUCCGUUGGCACGCUCGACCUGGCCGUUAGUUCAAGGGUGGGCCACUGCGGACCAGUUCACACGGAUGUGAUGCCGGUCACAGAAGUCCAAGAACUUUUUGCCGGUGAACUGAGUGCCAUUGUCGGUGAUGAUGACGUUGGGAAUCCCAAACCGGUGGAUGAUGUCGUUGAAGAAAAGGACGGCCUCCUCAGAGCGGAUGUUCGUGAUGGGUCGAGCCUCAAUCCGUUUGGAGAAUUUGUCGAUGGCCACCAGCAAAUGGGUGUAUCCCCCUGCUGCCUUCUGUAGAGGCCCUACUAGGUCGAGUCCCCACACCGCGAACGGCCAUGUGAUGGGGACCAUUGUUGACAGUCCUUAAGUACCAAACAUAAUCAUCAAAUAAAUAAAGAAAAGGAUCCAAAUGCAACCAACACCUAGACUCAGGGUUUUAUCUGACAGAAUUCCAUGAGUUUUGGUGUUUGUCUAUUUCUGCAGGGGGUUAUCAGGAAAUACGGAAGAAAGGCACACACGUCGGGUUUACAUAGAGAUAUUAACGUGCCGCGCAAUUUUCUAUCAUCUAGAAGACUCCAGAAGUCACGGGAACGAACGGGAGGCUGAGCGGGCUCGGGGGCAGGGCUCCCACCCUCCCCCCUUGGGCGCCCGCCGAGCUACAGAGUUGGAUCAGGACUCUCUUUCGGGAUGAUGUUCCACCGACCUAAAGGAUCAUGGAUAACUGUUCAAUCAAUGUCGGUUUGAUCCGACGGCCCAGGUUCACUUGAGGGGACUAUAUAACCAGACCCCCUGGCCCCUGGAGGAGGCACCUCUUGAUCAUUAUUCAUUAUUCAUAGACAGAGCAAAAGCUAGGGUUUAGAGAUGAGAGCUCUCCUCUCUUCUCUAAACAAGAGUAGAUCUAGAUAGUAGCGAGAUGGAGAGCGAAGGAGGAUUAGAGGAGAGGCCGGCCUGUUGGUUCUUCCUCCGGUUGUACUUCGUCAUGAUCAAGCUCUAAUCAAGCUUGCUCAUGGGAUGACUCUGGUAAUCUAGUUCUAAUUCAUUAUGCAAUUACUAAUCAUGUAUGUUCUGGUUCACAACUCUUUUGAGUACUUCUAAUCUAUAGGACCCUAUAGGUUAGAGUUGUAGUAUAGGUGUAAGCGUGGUGCUUAGACCUAGAUUACUUGUGGAUAUCCCCUGUCUAGCUGGAUCGUGUGGUAGGCUGCGUAGGUGACAGUUACGUUGGUCCUCUGUAGUCCACCUCUUGUUAGCAGGACGAGUAGGGUUUAUCGGCCUAUGGAUAAGCAUCCUUUGUGGUGUAUUCUUAUCACGUGGUUCGUCCCAGACAUAGACAUACACCUUUGAAGUAGAGAAACCAUAGUUAUCCUCUCUAUUCUGCUACCAUCGCCCAUAUACUAGAUUCCUCUACUCUCUAUUCCCAUAUUAUCACUCAUUGUUAUCUUACCUUUAAUAUUGUUCUUAUUCAAUUCUACCAUCUUUCCUAUUUACACUUAUCUAUCUAUCUUGGUUAAUUUAGAGCAUAGUAGGUUCUCCCGUUUCCCUGUGGAUACGAUAAAACCUUUAAUUUGGUAAAAGCUUCAACGGUAUCCGUGCGCUUGCGGAUUAUCUGUGUGCGUAUAAAUACCAUAGUACACUCUAGUGCCAUGCUGGGGAUGACAACCUAGUAUUCAAGUGGUGUUAGCAAGUGUCAACAAGCAUUUUUGGCGCCGUUGCUGGGGAAACGGUUGCUGACUUGACUAUGAACUAGCUUAAUCAUUUUCUAAAAAAAUAAAAAAAUAUAUAUAUUUUUCCUUUUAUCUUCUGCCUUAUCUCUGCUAUUCUUUCUUCUUAUCUAAUCCUUGAUCUUUGGUCUAUCAUGAAUUCAAACAUGUCUAUCUAUGAAUUUCAUAGACCUACGGGCACACAUCUCGAACCACCAAAAUCUUCAAAGCCUAUCAUAGCAUCUAGUUUUGAGAUAGACCCCGAAUACAUAGAAUUUGUUCAAAAACAACCUUUCUCCGGAGAAGGUGAGGAAAACCCAUACACACACCUAAGAGAGUUCUAUCGAGUCUGUGACCUCCUUCGCAAAGAAGGCAUGUCCGAUGAGACCCUUAAAUGGAAGCUCUUUCCGUUCUCUUUAACGGGAAAAGCUAGACAUUGGUACAAACUCAAAGUAGGGAGUGUUCAUGGAGAUUGGAAGGAGUUAUAUAAUAGUUUUCUUUCUAAAUAUUUUCCAAUCUCCAAAGUGGCGGAACUUCGGCGUAAGAUUAUUUCUUUUAGACAACUGGAAGAAGAAUCUCUUGGCAAAUCAUGGGACCGCUUUAUUAACCUUACUCUCACUGGCCCAAAGCUUUCUAUUCCAGAAGUUCUUCUAAUUCACUUUUUUUGAGGGCCUUAGUAGGAAAAAUAAGCAAACCCUUCAUGCGGCCUCUGGAGGAUCUUUCCACCACCUAUCCGCUAGUGAAGCUUGGAAUUUGAUUGAUCUAAUGAGCGGAAAGUCUCCUAGCUUUUAUAUCCCUGAGAAAGAGACAGAACCUGUUCCUAGGCAAGAAGAAGAAGUUUCGAUAGCCAGAUCACAACCACUUCAAUUCCAAACUUUAGCUAUCGAUCCUAAACCAUCAAUACCCCAAAAUUCUCCAAGGGAGGAAGGAAUUCUGACCUUAAAUCUUUCAGAUGCUGAUGGUUUAGACUUCUGGUUCCAUAAGAGACCUUCAAGCAGGGAUAAUUCAAAUCCUCGCAAUAAUGGUUCUCUUAGAGAAUAUCCUGGUUCCUAUUAUGAAGAAGUCAAGGAUGACAUAUCAAUUGAAGGAGAGCUAAGCCAUAUAGAAACUUCUAACACCUCCCCUUUCCGGAUCACAAGUUCCAAAUGGCUAGAAUGCGUAGAAUGGAUGGAUAAGGAAGAAGCUUUAAUGGAUUCUGACUUUGGCUCAAUUUCAAAUGGUGAGUUCUUGACUCCCUUUGAAGAAGAGAUUCAUCCAACUACAGAAGAGGACAUAGGUGAGACCAAUCCAGGAGAAACUCCGAACAUUUAGAUUGGAGACAAAGAUAACAUUAAUGAGCAUGGAAUUUAUUUCACAGCCACUUUGUUUACUCCAUGCUCAUAUGCAACAUCUUCCCAAUCUAUUGGUCUCUCCAACAUCACCACAUUUGAGAUCUCCAACCCCCUCUUCCUUUCUAUUUAUAAAAACUUUAAAAGGGUGGUUGUCGAUGCAUAUGUCUAUAAUAAAUAUUGUAGAUCUCGUUGAAUUGAUCUUGAUAUAGGUCAGCGUUGGAAGGGAAACCACUUCGCCGACAUAAAUUGAUGGUUUCCCAAGGACAAGCUUAGUGUCCUAAAAUAAGCGCUGAUCAGAUCGUAACAUGAGCUUUUAAUUAUUUGCAACAUUACCUUGCGUAUUGAGCAUAUAAGGAUAAUUGUAAAAAUAAUCCUUCGGGUAUUCUUGUCACUAACCUUUCUAGGAUUGGAGCAAGAAGAUCGGAUGAAUGACAAGCACAAGGUAUGUCCAACCAAUCAUCAUACAACAUUGAAUUAAAUCCAAACUUGAAUUUUGCAAAAUUCAAGCUUGGGGGAGUAAUUUACAUAAAAACACCCUUUGCCAUGUUGCUAUGUUGGUUGUCCCUACAUUUGAAACAUGCUCAAUUUGUUAAAUACUAAUCACACUACUUCAUCUCCACUUCAGUAGAUCUCUAUAAAUGCUGUCAUGCUACCUUUGUCUAUUUACUAGCAAGUGUUGCUUUGGAAGUACUCGACAUACUUUCCAUUGGCAUUUAAAUUAAGCAUGGUGCUUAUGUUAAAUAGCCUUCCUUAAUCUGAUUAGACAUGGAGUCUAGUUUGGUUACUGAACUAAAAACUGCUUGAGUAGAUAUUGGUAUAUUUUGUCGGACUAACCCCUACAGCAAAACUUUCACUAUCAACCUGGGAAGUCCUGAGAUAAACUCACAUUGGAGAUGAAGAGGGUAACACAUGAAGUUUAACAAUUUGCACAAGAAGGACAUAGCACAUUCAUCAUACAGAGAUGAUCCAUGGAAGGAGACAAAGUACAUAAACAAGAUACACAACCACUACGAAAGGAAAGCUUCCACAAGGUGAUACUAUACCAUCACUCUUCAAGUAAGGUAACAUCUUAAGAUAUCUGACUAUCACUUUUAUAAGCUUCUCCUUGGUUCUGGUGUUCACAUAAAUAAAGAGACAAACAUGUAUGAUUUAUAACUCUAAAUUAACCAACCCAACUGAUUCAGCAUGUUUAGUCCUUUAAUCUUUAUUCCUAGUACUACCUCCAUGAUCCCACACUCCUAAUCAUAUGAGCUAAAAUGUUAGACAUUUAAUCUUUGGGAAGAUAUGAAGAAAAAGGCAUAUAUAUAGAUAGAUUAUCUUUCGAUUAGGUUGAGCGAUCUGAUCCGGCAAAUGUUUGAAAUGCUACACUCAUGAACUUAUCAUUCAUCAACUUUGUCUUGCUCACCAUGCUUAAGGUUAGAGAAGAACAAAUACACUUUUGGUUCUGUUGGUGUUUUCCACCAACAGGGCCCAUGCACUUGAUCUCUGCCUUGUCUCUAUGAGCAGGUACACUACGAGCACAAACACACUGAGCAGGAUGCUGCCAAUGCCGCACUUCGAACUGCUGGGCAAACGAAGAACAUGGGUGAUACCGUAUCAAGAGGUGCAGACGUCAAGCUCCGCACCUGAAUCAGAUGACGCACCUAAAGAAUGAACACGGUGAGAAGUCUUGUUCAGAAGACUUAAAACAUUGAUCCAUCACCGAAAGGUAAAAUCGGUAGUUAUCCAUAUUUAUCCUUUUUGCAUUCCCUUUUCCCUUAAAUUAUUUACUUUCCUUAAAUGGCUUGUUAGUUAAUCAUGCUAUCUUGAAAAAAAAAUAAAAAAUGUUAAAAAUAGUAAGCCCCAUGUGAGUAUGCUCGUGGCAUAAAACCCAUAAGUACAUUCACUGUGGUGGUGUAAAAAUAAAAUAAAUAUAUUCUUGUCCUAUAGAAAUGAAAAUAUAAAAAUAAAUUUAUGAUCCUACCAAAGAGAGUAAUAUGUAUUAGAGGAAGCUCAACAUGAUAAAGGCAAAGAGAUUUUAUGCUAACACUUAACCAGUUCCACAAAGUUUUGUUGUCUAUUUGAGCUCCACAUAAUUCAAGGAUCAAAGAAGACUAGCAGACGGAGGACAUUCUAAUCGCUGUCAGGGUGCUGCCGACAUUCAAAUACACCUCCGCCACCUGCUAGCUCCAUCGAAAGAAAUUACGUCAAAAUCCAGCUUGGGGGAGAGCACCCCCAUUUAUCUAGCUCGGUAUUUCUAUCUACGUUUAUAGUUAUACUUUGUUAAAAUAAUAAAAAGAUGCAUAAUCAUAAAAACCCAAAUAAAGAUUUUAUGCUUAUAUAUAUAUCUUUUCUUAGUUUGCUAAAUAAAUAAAUAAAUAAAGAUUGCUAUGAACCCUCAUGAUAAGCUCUCACAUGGAUAUGAUGAAUAGUUGCUCUGCCAAUUACCUAGUUUUCAAAUUUGAGCUCUCUCUCAAGUUUAGGCAUGACUGUUAUAAUUUAAAGUUUUGCUCUAAACCUGAACUUGUGGGAAGAGUACUUGAUUUAAAGUCUAAGUUGUUAACGGAUAUGAUAUGGGAAGGUUGAGCUGCUGUUUAUCUGUUCCUAGAGAUGCUAGAAUUCUGGAGAAUUUUAUCUUUGAAAAUCUUUAAAAUAUUGCAUCAUGAGUUCCUGUAUGAUGAGAGUUUAAAAUCCUACCACAGCCACAUAUACAUGCUUAUGUGACUAUGAACGAUAUAUUUACUUUUUACUGCUUAUGAGCAUUGAGUGUGGUCAAGCUAUGUAGACCCUUAGGAGCUUGUCAUGCGGUUAUAAUCAAGAUUCACUUGCACGUCCACUCAUACAUGCUGCUUCUACUCCGGAAGUAUGCAUCCACAUACAUCCACUCAUUUCCAUCUCCAGAUUCACCCAAAAUUAUUCUACUCCUAUCCAGGAGAGAAUAGCCAAAAACAUUAUCCCAUUCCUUUUUUCCCUGUGAAAUAAAUGCUCGAGCUAUUUUGGUUACUACCACUUGCUACAUUAUUCCAGGAGGGUGAGUGCUCUGAAAAAAAAAGAAGAAAAAUACGAGGAAAUAAAAAGGGGCAAGUGCCCGGAACCUCGAAAGAAAAAAAAGUGAGACGAGAGGUAAAAAUGGACAAGUGUCUGAUAGUAGAAUUAGGGGUACAAGAUACCCACCUAAGAGAUAAGAAAAAAAAGAAAAUAUAGAGCAUCUCAUUCCCCUCAAACUUCAAAGUGCAAGAAAGGUAUGUAUCCCCUCAAAAGAGCAAAAGUAGAAUUAGACUUUCACCAUUAUUUUCACCAUUAUCACCAUCAUCACCAUACACCAUUCAUCCGCCACACAUGCACAUCUUGGUUUGACUUAUUGACUUGUUUCUCUGGAUCCAUGGUUUGACUAUGCAAUAAAUGUCUUGUAAGUAUGUAUUAGCUGUCUCCCACCUAUGAGCUCCAGAUAUCAAACCUUAUUAGAGUAGGGUGAGAGAGAAGGCAAUAUCACUAUGCCUCAUACAACAAAUACUACAUACUUUGAGAGAAGGCGUAUAUUAUCACUGCCUUGGUAAGGAUCCAGAAAUACCACAAAAGAGAGACUAGAGAGAGUCAUACAAGGAAUCUCUGAGUUUUAUUUGAAAAUCUGCAAAAACUCUAGAGCUAUAGUUGAUCAAAGAACAAGGGACAUGGUGCUUGACUUGACCGUUCUAUCUUUUAACUGCUCAAGACACAAGUGACGGUUGCAAGCCCCAUGGUGGAAGGUAAUAUGAGUAAGUUUAAAUCUUAACAGUUUACCCUAACCUAGAGACGAGAUCUUGUUUAAAUGCAUGUGUAGCUUUAAGGCAUAAAACCACUGCAGAAACUCUUAAGUCCAUCCUUGCUCAGGGACGAGCAAGAGGUAAGCUUGGGGGAGUUGUUGACGGUCCUUAAGUACCAAAUAUAAUCAUCAAAUAAAUAAAGAAAAGGAUCCAAAUGCAACCAACAGCCAGACUUAGGGUUUUAUCUGACAGAAUUCCACGAGUUUUGGUGUUUGUCUAUUUCUGCAGGGGGUUAUCAGGAAAUACGGAAGAAAGGCCCACACGUCGGGUUUACAUAGAGAUAUUAACGUGCUGCGCAAUUUUCUAUCAUCUAGAAGACUUCAGAAGACACGGGAACGAACGGGAGGCCGAGCGGGCUCGGGGGCAGGGCACCCGCCCUCCCCCUUGGGCGCCCACCCAGCUACAGAGUUGGAUCAGGACUCUCUUUCGGGAUGAUGUUCCACCUACCUAAAGGAUCAAGGAUAACCGUUCAAUCAAUGUCGGUUUGAUCCGACGGCCCAGGUUCACUUGAGGGGACUAUAUAACCAGACCCCCUAGCCCCUGGAGGAGGCACCCCUUGAUCACUAUUCAUUAUUCAUAGACAGAGCAAAAGCUAGGGUUUAGAGAUGAGAGCGAAGGAGGAUUAGAGGAGAGGCCGGACUGUCGGUUCUUCCUCCGGUUGUACUUCGUCAUGAUCAAGCUCUAAUCAAGCUUGCUCAUGGGAUGACUCUGGUAAUCUACUUCUAAUUCAUUAUGCAAUUACUAAUCAUGUAUGUUCUGGUUCACAACUCUUUUGAGUACUUCUAAUCUAUAGGACCCUAUAGGUUAGAGUUGUAGUAUAGCUGUAAGCGUGGUGCUUAGACCUAGAUUACUUGUUGAUAUCCCCUGUCUAGCUGGAUCGUGUGGUAGGCCGCGUAGGUGACAGUUACGUUGAUCCUCUGUAGUCCACCUCUCGUUAGCAGGACGGGUAGGGUUUAUCGGCCUAUGGAUAAGCAUCCUUUGUGGUGUAUUCUUAUCACGUGGUUCGUCCCAGACAUAGACAUACACCUUUGAAGUAGAGAAACCAUAGUUAUCCUCUCUAUUCUGCUACCAUCGCCCAUAUACUAGAUUACUCUACUCUCUAUUCCCAUAUUAUCAACCAUUGUUAUAUUACCUUUAAUAUUGUUCUUAUUCAAUUCUACCAUCUUUCCUAUUUACACUUAUCUGUCUAUCUUGGUUAAGUUAGAGCGUAGUUGGUUCUCCCGUUUCCCUGUGGAUACGAUAAAACAUUUAAUCGGGUAAAAGCUUCAACGGUAUCCGUGUGCUUGCGGAUUAUCUGUUUGCGUAUAAAUACCAUAGUACACUCUAGUGCCAUGCUGGGGAUGACAACCUAGUAUUCAAGUGGUGUUAGCAAGUGUCAACAACCAUCUGGAGAGCGUGGGCGGGAAGAUGCGUCUGCUUGGCGUAAAAUUGACACCCAUGGCACGAGCGUACGAGCUCGAUGGCGUCAGCUACGGCCGUUGGCCAGUCGAAGCCUUGUCAGAAAGCGUUCUCUACGAGGGUCCGCGGAGUAGCGUGGUGGCCACAAGCCCCCGAGUGUAGAUCCUCGAGGAGCUUUCGGCCUUCCUCUAUGGUGAUGCAAUGCUGCAAGAUUCCUGUCGGGCUUCGUCGGUAUAGUUCGUUGUCUUCACCGUAGAUUACGUAUGACUUGGCCCGUUGAGCGAUACGGUGGGUUUCGGAUCGAUCUUCUGGUAGCUUGUUGGGUAUUUUAAACGCAAACAGAAAAAUCCGCAAGCGCACGGAUACCGAUGUAGCUUUCACCCGGGAGUAUUCCAGAGUAUCGAUUUUCCACAGAGAACGUGAGUGUACUAAUUAAGAUCCAAGAUCGCCCAAGGAUAACUAUAUAAUUAUUUUUGGUGGGAAGAGAGGAAGUUUCCUGAGAGUUCUCUAGUUGAUCUAGAAUUACUUCAAGAAUAUCUAUAUCGGGACAUCAGAGCACUAACCACAGAAAGAGAUGAGAAGGGGGCUAGGAAGGUCUGACUACGGUCCUACAAACACCGAUCCGAACGAGGUGGAAUACGUCGACCGUUAGGGCUGUCACUACCCUAAGGCUACCACAACAAUCUGUAGGAUUGGGUGCAAUUCCAGGUAAUCGCAAGACUAAACACCAGGUCUAAUCUAUUAAUUACUACUCUAGCGUUAUAAAGACUAGAGCACUUGAUGCAAGCGGGAAUCCAAUAAAUAACUUGAAUGUAAAUAAAAGUAAUUAGAGAACUCAGGAAUAAUGAAUUGAAGAACCUAUAGAACGAUGAAGAACGAACCAGUUGCUGCAAAAGUACAAUGUUGAGGAAGAUCCGACAGAUCCGGCUCCUCCUCCGCUCUCCUCUUCUCUCUCCCUAUUUUCUAGAUUACAACUAGAACUAACUAGAACUAGAACUAGAGGAACUAGAACUAGAACUAGAUGAACUAGAACUAGAACUAGAUGAACUAGAGGUAGAAAUAGAAGAACUAGAGGGAUCCUCUCUACUUGGAUGAAGAAUUGAAACCCUAACUUUGAUUCUGUAGAAGAGGUAUGAUCUCCAGGGGCCAGGGGGUCUGGUUUUAUAGUCCCUUCAAGUGAAUAUGGACCGUUGGAUCAAACCGACAUUGAUUGAACGGUUAUCCUUGAUCCUUUAGGUCGGUGGAGCAAUAUCCCAAAAGAGAGUCCUGAUUGGACUCCGGCUGAGGGCGGGCGCCCUGCCUCCGAGCCCGAUUGCCUUCCCGUUCGUUCCCGUGGCUUCUGGAGUCUUCUAGAUGGUAGAAAAUUGCGCGGCACAUUAAUAUCUCUAUGUAAUCCCGACGUGUGGGCCUUUCUUCCGUAUUUCCUGAUAACCCCCUGCAGAAAUAGACAAACACCAAAACUCGUGGAAUUCUGUCAGAUAAAACCCUAAGUCUAGGUGUUGGUUGCAUUCAGAUCCGUUUCCAUGAUUAGUUGAUGGUUAAAUGUGAGCAUUAAGGACUGUCAACAAGCUCCCCCAAGCUUAACCUUUGCUCGUCCCUGAGCAAAGAUGAACUCAAUAGUUUCUGCAGUGGUUUCAUACCUUAAAGAUACAUAUGCGUUCAAACAAGAUCUCAUAUCUGAGUUAGGGUAAACUGUUAAAAUUUAAACAUACUCAUUUUACCUUCCACCAUGGGGCUUGUAACCGUCACUUGUGUCUUGAGCAGUUAAAAGAUAGAACGGUCUAGUCAAGCACCAUGUCUCUUGUUCUUCGAUUAACUAUAGCUCUGGAGUUUUUGCAGAUUUUCAAAUAAAACUCAGAGAUUCCUUGUAUGACUCUCUCUAGUCUCUCUUUUGUGGUAUUUCUGGAUCCUUACCAAGACAGUGAUGGUAUAUGCCUUCUCUCAAAGUAUGUGGUAUUUGUGGUAUGAAGCAUAGUGGCAUUGCCUUCUCUCUCACCCUACUCUAAUAAGGUUUUGAUAUCUGGAGCUCAUAGGUGGGAGACAGCUAAUACAUACUUACAAGACAUUUAUUGCAUAGUCAAACCAUGGAUCCAGAAGAACAAGUCAAUAAGUCAAAUCAAGAUGUGCAUGUGUGGCGAAUGAAUGGUGAUAAUGGUGAAAGUAAUGGUGAUAACAAUGGUGAAAGUCUAAUUCUACUUGUGCUCUUUUGAGGGGAUACAUACCUUUCUUGCUCUUUUCAAACUUUUUGAGGAGAAUGAGAUGCUCUAUAUUUUAUCUUUUUUUUUCUUUUCUCUCAGGUGGGUAUCUUGUACCCCUAAUUCUACUGUCGGACACUUGUCUAUUUUUACCUCUCGUCUCACUUUUUUCUAUUCUUUCGAGGUUCCGGGCACUUGCCCCUUUUUAUUUUCUCGUAUCUUUCUUUUUUUUCUUUUUUCUUUUUUUUAGAGCAGUCAUCUCUUGAAAUAAUGUAGCAAGUGGUAGUAACAAGAUAACUUGAGCAUUUAUUUCACAAGGGAAAACAGAAAUGUUUUUGGCUAUUCUCUCCCUGAUUAGGAGUAGAAUAUUUUUGGGUGGUUCUGGAGAUGGAAAUUGAUGGAUAUAUGUGGAUGCGUACUUCUAGAGUAGAGGCAGCAUGUAUGAGUGAACGUGCAAGUGAAUCUUGAUUUAACCACAUGACAAGCUCCUAAGGGUCUACACAGCUUGAACACACUCAAUGCUCAUAAGCAGUAAAAAGUAAAUGUGAAGCUCAAAGUCUAGUAAGCAUGUAUAUAUGGUUGUGGUAGGAAUUUAAACUCUCAUCAUACAGGAACUCAUCAUGUGUUAUUUUAAAGAUUUUCAAAGAUAAAAUUCUCCCGAAUUCUAGCAUCUCUAGGAAUAGAUAAACAACAGCUCAACCUUCCCAUAUCGUAUCCAUUUAACUACUUAGACUUUAGAUCAAGUACUCUCCCCACAAGAUUAGGUUUAGAGCAAAUCUUAAUUAAUAACAGUGAUGCCUAAACUUGAGAGAGAUUUCAAUUUUGAGAACUAGUCAUGGCAGAGCAACUAUUCAUCAUUUCCAUGUGAGAGUUUAUCAUGAGGGUUCAUAGCAAACUUUAUUUAUUUAUUUAGCAAACUAAGCAAAGAUAUAU